rnacentral:lncRNA from 1 species
UUUGUUGGCCUUUUUCAUUAGGUACUUUCGGAUUCCGAAUCUGUUCGGUGGCUAAACCAUGCUGUUGAAAAAAUAUGGCCUAUUUGUAUGGAACAGAUUGCAUCACAGAAGAUUCUGCUUCCCAUCAUACCUUGGUUCUUGGCUAAGUACAAACCUUGGACUGCUGUAUGAAUUUUGCUUCUCUUAGUACUAUUUUAUUGGCUAUCUCUGGAAAACUAGUACAUAAAGAUUCUGAUUUAGUAAAAUGUUCAAUUUAGUGCAAAUGAACAAUUUGUACUUUUUUAAGACUUGCAUUCGCUCCUAUGAAGUUACUUUCAAUGACCAUCAGAUGAUUAUUUUUUGAUCCAUUUUGGGUGUGUUUGACUGAAAUGUUGCUAUGCCUGCAGAAGAAAGCUGUGGUUCAGCAUUUAUAUUUGGGAAGAAAUCCACCUUUGAUCACGGAGGUGAGAGUUCUUCGUGAAUGCUCUGAUGAUGACCACUUGGUAUACCUUCUCCCUAACUCCUCUCUGUUGGCUAUGAUUUCUUGUUUCAAUUUUGAGGAUGAUAGAACUUUCAAUUUCUCGUUGCAGGUACUGGAGUUGGGAAUGAAUUUUCUCACCGCGGAUGACAUGAGUGCAAUACUUGCUGUGAAACUACGGAAAAGACUGGGAUUUGGGAUGUGGGCGAAGUUGCAUGUAACAGGCAUGCAUGUUGAAGGAAAGGUAUUAAUAAAAAUGGAAUGGUAUUAGCUAUAUUCAAUUUUCACAUUAAAAGAGUUUAUAGUCUUUCCUAAGCAGUUGUUAAUCGGAGGAAUUUGCAUGGCAUCACAUAGUUUGGGCCCCAUCCUGCCUCCUGCAAAUACUUAACUUUAUUGACUUACUGUAAUUAACUGGCAUUUACUCCAUGUUUCAGGUUUUGGUUGGGGUGAAGUUUAUCCGGAAGUGGCCUUUCAUUGGUCGUUUGCGAGUAUGCUUUGCUGAGCCUCCAUAUUUCCAGAUGACUGUGAAACCUGUCUUUACACACGGACUUGAUGUUACGGAACUUCCAGGAAUUGCUGGAUGGCUUGUAAUAACUCUUUUUCCUGAAAAUCUUUGACUAUAUUUUAUUAUCUUUUACUUCCUCUCAAUCUUAUUGUGUAUCCUCUUUUGCUCGCGUAGGACAAGCUUCUUUCGAUAGCAUUUGAGCAGACACUUGUUGAGGUUAGUUUUCCUUAACUCUGUUGCCAUACAAUGGCAUAAAUUCCAUCUUAUAUUCCACAAAUGCAUAUCGUAGUUUUAGAAUGCACUUACAGGUUUAAGUUACCAGCAACUUGCUUCUGUAUUGAACUUUAGCUCCAAAUAUUUGUUUAUUUUGCAGCCCAAUAUGCUGGUUGUGGAUGUUGAGAAGUUUGCUUCACCCAUUCCAGGUAAUUUUUUUCAUUAUUUUCCAGUAUUUAGUUGCUCUUAUAUUUUACUUAUAGCUCGUUUCCGGUCAUUAACUUAUUACCAGUUCUGCUAUUUCAUUAGUCAAAUUUUCUCAUUCACCUUUUUGUUGAUUCUGUCCGACAGAAAACUGGUUUUCUGUCAAUGAGAAGCAACCUAUUGCUCAUGCCAAGGUUGAAGUUAUUGAAGGGUCCGACAUGAAACCUUCAGAUUUAAAUGGUCAGUUUUAAAUCCAGUAUCUUACUUUUCCAUCAUGUAAAAUACAUGGUUUUAUGGUCAUUGAUUGGAUAUAAAAUUUUCAGGAUUGGCUGAUCCAUAUGUGAAAGGGACACUUGGCCCUUAUAGAUUCAGGACUAAGACGCAGAAGAAAACUUUGUCUCCGAAAUGGCACGAGGAAUUUAUGAUCCCCGUCUGCUCCUGGGAGGCACCUAACGUACUGAUUAUAGAAGUUCGUGACAAAGACCAUUUAUAUGAUGAUAGCCUUGGGUUUGUCUCUGAAUCUCUAAAAUAACCAUAUUGCUCGAUCAUGUUUGAAAUCUUCAAACAAAUUUUCUUUUCAUUUACGCCUAUUAUGCUUUUUGAGUGCCACUGUUUUUGCAGUUUGUGCACUAUGUUGACAACCCUUUCCAAUUAUGCAUUAGCACGUCUUAGAAAUAGUUCCCUUUUAGAUGUUUUUGAUCCGUGAUAUAUGAUACCACUGUUUGUUUUCCGAAUUCCUUAUGACUUGUUUAAGACUCUCAAAUGGUGUACUGAUUUGCUGUGUUUACAGUAAGUGCUCGGUAAAUAUUACUGAACUUCGAGGUGGCCAGAGACAUGACAUGUGGUUGCCUCUUCAAAAUAUUAAAAUGGGAAGACUGCAUCUCGCAAUAACCGUUCUUGAAGAGAAUGCUAAGGUAAUUUAUUCUAUGAUCCACAUUAUAGUCGGAAGGUUUUAAAUUGCAACCUUGCGUGCAAAUUAUUAUUAUGAGUUAAUAUGUGUCGAGAAACUAAAAAGGAUGUAUGGACAGUUUACGCAGGUAAGUGAUGGUGCUGCAGUUGAUGCUUUUGACGCCGAAGCAUUAAACAAGGAAGAUGUACAAAACUCAUUUGCAAAUAUAGAUGUGAAUAAUGGUUUAUUCUCGCCUACUUCUUCAAAGAAAUCUCCGACCCUGCCGGAUCAUUUAGAACCGAUAGAUGUUGAAGGACAACAAGAAACCGGGAUAUGGGUCCAUCACCCCGGAAGUGAAGUGUCACAAACUUGGGAACCUAGAAAAGGGAAAGGUAGAAGCCUCGAGACACAGAUUCAUAAAGUGCCUAAUAGUUCAUUUGGCAGCACCAUGUCGGCUGCAUCUGGAUCCUCUAAAAGUGAUGACAGCAGUGCUGAGGAAAACCAUAAUCCGAAGAAUCGAGUCAACAGAGUUAAGCAGGGUUUACGGAAGAUCGGUUCUGUAUUUCAUAGGAGUCCCAAAAACGAGGGUCACUCAGGCAACCUCGGAGAAGUGGUUCCAUCUCCCCAUGAAAAUCUCAGAGCAGUUAAUGACAAGGAGAUUUUGGUAAAGUUUGUAGUCGACGACAAUCUUUCGGCUGAUAAGGUCUCAAACGAAGGAAGCUUGAGUCCUGGAGAAGAAAGCCCUGGAAAGAUGAAAGACAUGGCGAAGAGUAUUCUAAAGCAUGCUGAGAAAUCUGCUCGUAGCAUAAAACAUGUUCUUUCUCGUAAAGGGUCGAAAAAAUCACGCAAUCUAUCAGCUGUGGAAGAACAAGAGUUUCCAAUAGAAUCCGACUCCGAUGAUGAUGAUGAUGAAUCUUUGUCAUCCCCGGGAGUCAAGGGAAUACCAAUUCUUUCCAAUCGCAUGCCCAGCUCCCGUGGCAACGAUGAUACUGAGGAGCAUGUCAUUUUGACAGAUUCAAACAGCCAGUUGAGCCCUGAAACAAAUGUUAAGGAACAAGUAGAGAAAACAAGUGUUGAAGGACACAACAACAUAGAUGACGAAGAUGUGAACAAUCCCAUUAAGCACGGUAAUGGAAUGAACAACAUAGAUGACGAAGAUGUGAACAAUCCCAUUAAGCUCAGUAAUGGAACGAAUGAGCCACCCUUGAAACCAAAUCCUUCGGAGAGUGAGAAAAAGGUAGAAGAAGACACUUCUCAAACAGAUACCAAAGUUUAGGUUCAGUGUUUGUAUGUGCAUCCAUAAUAGAAGACUUGAAAAGAGUUUUGAAGAACAGCGGGCAUGGUCCAGCAAUUUAGAGUUUUAGAUGGAUAAGCAAUACGUAAUACGUUUAUACAUGUUCCCUGUAAAAAUCUCCUUUGUUUGAUUUCUCACAUUUGUUAUAUACAACACAUCUUUGUAGAGUUCCAAAAUGAAAACAGGUUGUACAAGUUUAUGGCUUUUUAAACUUUUAUUUAAGUUACUUUUUUUUAAUUUUAAUUUAAAAUUCAUAAUUUAAUUGUUGAUCAUUUCAAAAUAGUUAACUGCUCCUGUAUUAAAUUCACAUACAAGGAUGACUGCAUAUUUUGACAUCCAAAAUACGAGAAAGUCGAUAAAAGUUGCCAAAUAUUGUCUGUAACAUAGGUUUCCGAAUAUUCCGACGAGAUAAAUUAAAUUUAAAUUAAUCACCUAGUUUAGUCAUCAAAAUUUAAUAAAUUAACAAUUAGAUUCAAUUAUGUCGUUUAAACAUUUUGCUACAUUUGAGAAUAAUUCUUUGGUUUGAGCAUUUCAGAGUUUUAGAGAACAAUGUAUAUAUUAUCUUACAAGCUCAGAGAUGAGACUGCACUUGCUUCCAACUCCAAACCGAAAUGAUUUAACAGGUUGCAACCGGAAGCUAUGCUACUAUCAGACUCUUUCAAACAUUAAUUCUUCUGAAUUUCCGAAUUACAUUGCAUAAAAAUGUCAUUUCAAGAGAGCUAACAUUUCCACCACUCAUAUUAUGCACCGCUCGCAUACAAACGGGUCCAUUCCUUAGCUGCAAAUAGUUAAGGAAACCAAGAACAUCAAUAGUAAGAAGCACGGCAUAUCAUCUUUGAUUCUAGUAGUGAUCUAAGAUUGCAACCACAGGGUUUUACCUGUCUCGACGGCUUCGGCCUCAUUUGUUUUCCAGUGCUUAGCAAUGUUCUCCAAGAGUGGAUCAUCAGGAUUAGGAGCACUCAAGAGUGCUUGAAUGCUAGCAAUAACGAUAAUAACUUCAGUAUCAACCUAAAACUUGAUCAAGAUACCGCAAUAACUUAAAUAACAUCUUCAACCCAGACAUUAAUGAAACCCCUUUCCAAGUAUUAGCAUGUACAUACGAAAAAGCAGUGAAGUCUUUCAUGCAGAACAGAAGCUACAUAAAUAGGGUUAUGCUGCACAAAAACUUAUAAUACCUCAAAAGUACAGUUCGAAUCUGGAGAGCCGAACUCCAUUUGUCUUUCAGAAUAUCGAGGCUAUUCUUCCAAGCUGCAAGAAAGCUCAAUCCUUAGAAGCCAACAAAAGACAUCUUUAACACCAUAAAACAAGGACAAAACAAGUAACAGGUAGAGCUGACCUUAUCGAUGUUAGGAUGAUAUAUCUUUGUAAGAAACCGGACCUGUUACACCAAAUUUGUUAAGGUGGAUAAAAAUACAGAACAUUCCAAAAAGGGCAAAACUAAUGGAAGAUGAAAAAAUUCUGAGAAACAAACAAGUCCAAUCACCAUACUAGUAAAUGUAAGAACAAGGACUUUGAAAAGCCAGUGCAUAUAACAUACUAUUAAAUGUUCAUUUCCAAUCAAUAUUUUCCUCUCAAAUGUCAUUAAAAGCAAAUAAUGACAUAGAACCAAAACUUCACCAUGUUGAAAGGAGAAUAAUACCUAUUUGCCACACCAAUAAAGUAAAAGUGAAAUUCUGUUGAACCUGAAACUACCGGAACAGAUAAAGCAGCGUUCUCUACAUGCAAACUAGUGCAUCCCUAAUUCAUAUUAAAAUCCAAUAUAUAACAUUUUCAGAUGAAGUCGAUCAAUAUCGUUUAUCAAAGGAACAUCAAUCGAGCAUAUCCCAACAUAUGCAAAAAACAUGAAGGUCAUGCUUUAAGAAUAAGUCAAUGUUGAUUACCUUGGGAGCCGCCAUGGGAUAUUCUUCAGGCAAAAAUAGUUCCAACUUGAAAACCCCUCCUAAACAAAGAACCCAAACAAGAAAAUUCAUCAUAUUCCAUACAUAAUCCAAAAUGAUAAAAAGGUGAUGAGAUAUUACAAAGCAUGCGAAUUGGCCUUAAAUUUCAACACAGAAAACAUGGGUCCCUUUCUUUAUCUUUAAAAGAUGGAAAUGAAGUAAUAUAAACGCUGCAUAAUCAUUUUCUCAAAAGAACAGAAAAAAAAGAAAAAGCAAACUUUACGCAUAUGGAGGUUAUUUUAAUAACUAAAAAUUGGCUAUGGUGUCAAUCUGCAUGUAUUAAAUCAGCUGAGAUCGAACUAUUAUACAAUAACUUCUAAAAUUUUACAGUUCUAACACAAAGAAAAAUUAUCAGCAACCAUCAGAUUAAAAAGAAAAUCAACUACCUUCAUAUGGAGAUUGUGUUGGACCAAGGAUCAUCACAUUGAAAUAUCGCAUAUUAUCCUCUGAUGGUGAGGCACUAAUUCCAGGCGCUGUAUUUAAGGGGGGAAAAACAAUAAACUCUUUUAUUUACCAGGAAAAGAAACCCAGAAAAUUCAACAAGAGAAAAAAAAGAGCAGAGUAUUUACCUGGUUCACUGAGGAGACGCUGAGUUUCCUGUUUAGAUCAAAGAUUAAGAAACAAAAAUUAAGCAUGAAGCAUUUACAAAAUUCACACAAACAAACUAAGAACACUUAAAAUAAUUUGCUGAAGCUUUUGAUUCAUUAAAACCCAAAACAAUUCAGCUACCAAAUCAAACUCUAAAAACCCAGAAAAAAGAAAAACAAAAAUUAUGAGGCUUCUAAUGAAGAAACCGAGAAGGAUCAGAGUGAGACCGAAAAAGGAACCUUUAUGAUUCUUCGAGGGAGAUUACUGUUGGCCAUUGGCGAGAUCGAUUGCAAGAAAAAAAAGAAAGAGGGUUUUUGGGAUUUAGAAAUUGAGAGAAAACGAAAUUAAGAAUCUUUUGUGUAUAUAAAAAGAAAGAAAAAAAAAAGGAAAUUAUUUAAUGCGCUAAAAAAUAAUAUAAAAAAGAAAGUACUUAACAUAAUGUUUAUGUAUAAAUAUAAAAAAAUAAUAUAUAUACUAGUAAUCUCCCUCGAAAAAUCAUUCAGGUCCCCUUUCGAUCUCACUUUGAUCCUUUUCGAUUUCUUCCCAGAAGAUUUUUUUUUCGUUAAAUUUUGUGUGUUCUCCUUUCUGGGUUUCUGGAGUUUGAUUUGGUAAUUGAAUUGGUUUGGGAUUUAAUGAAUCAAAAACUUCAGCAAAUUAUUUUCAGUCUUGUUAGUUUAUUUGCGUGAAUUUUCUAAAUGUUUAUUGCUUAAUUCUUGCUUCUUAAUCUUUGAUCUAAACAGGAAACUGAGCGUCUCCUCAGUUUACCAGGUGAAUACUCUGCUUUUUUUUUUUUAAUUUGAAAUCCUUGUUGAAUAUUGUUUGCUAUCGUUUUUCGGUUUAAAUCUUAUGAGCUGAAAAAAAGUUAAAAUUUCUGGGUUUCUUCUCCUGGUAAAUAAAAGAGUUCAUUGUUUUUUCUUUUUCCCUUAAAGAGUUGAUUGUUUGCUCUCAUAUACUUAAUGGUGAAUUAAUUUUGUUUUUCUGGUAAAAAUUUGAUCAACCCCAGGAGUUUGAUACAUUGACACCAUGAAAGAGGAACAACGCUUACUUCUUCUCCACUCAUCCUCACUCUUCUCUCCUCCUCAAGGUCUUUCCUUUCCUUCAAAAACCAAUUGAUAUUUCUUUUCAAUUUUGUUGCUAACAAAAACAUUGAACUUUCUAUUUUACUUUUUUGGUUUUUUUUAGGAGUGAAGCUAUCAUAUGGGACGGCAGGGUUCAGGGCAGAUGCAUCGAUCCUUAAAUCAACAGUUCACAGAGUUGGGAUAUUGGCUGCUUUAAGAUCACUCAAAACCCAAUCAGCUGUUGGAUUGAUGAUCACAGCUUAACACAAUAAAGUUACUGACAAUGGAGUCAAAAUUGUUGAUCCAAGUGGUGGAAUGCUCACUCAAGAAUGGGAACCUUUUGCAGAUCAACUUGCCAAUGCCCAAACUCCUGAAGCCUUCCUCUCAGUGAGUAGCCUCUUCUUUAUGUUUUUGGAUGCGCAUUUUAUUCGUUUUAUAGUAAUUCAGUGAAAUUAUUGCUGAAAGAUAAUGGGAAGUGAUGCAUUUUUAAAUAUAUUUCCAAAUUUUCUUGAUGAUUAAUGUUAAUGUGUUCUAUAAGAAACAAUAGCUUUCUUUCCCCUUGAUGAAAAUACAAUGUAUUAUGCAUAUAAUUAACAGAAAAAGUAAACCAACUAAUAUAGCCUAAGAAGCCCACUUGUAGUUGAAAAAAAUUCCAAUAUAAAGUUAGAGUAGUUUGUAUAAGGUGAGACUUACAGUUGAGACCUAAUGGUUUUGGGAUUGUCGCCUUACCUGUGAGACAAGGUCAGUUGAGAAAGCAACAAUCGUUUUGAUACUAUAGUUUAUGUUUGUUUGAUGAGUGAACUGAAGGUGUAAUAAUUUUGUUUAAGCUCAAAAAGUAUGCUAAAUUUUAGUGUUGUUGUGUAUUUGAUAUAAAUGGAGAGGGAGUUUUAGGAAAGGGAUGUUGAGUUUGAAGAGUGGAUUUAAAUUCAAUGUUAAAUGCGACUAGGAAUGCAUAUUAUACUUAUCAAUUGUUUGUUCAUACAACAGCUCAUAACAGAAUUUGUAGAGAAGGAAAAAAUUCCAUUAGAUGGAGUGCAAUCUGCAGAGAUAUUGUUAGGAAGAGACACCCGGCCUAGCGGAGAAUCUCUCCUUGAAGCUGCAAAGCAGGUACACUUUUUUUAAUCAACAGGGGAUUGCUGAAACUUUGAUAAUUUUCAUUGUGAUGUUAAAUGCAUCUAUCAUUUGCUAAUAUCUAUCUAUUUUUUAGGGAAUAAGUUCAAUUCUUGGAGCUAUUGCACUUGAUUUAGGAAUUUUAACAACCCCACAGCUGCAUUGGAUGGUUCGUGCUAGGAAUAAAGGCAUGAAAGCGACAGAACCUGCUUAUUUUGAACAGAUUUCAAACUCCUUCAGGUUAGUUGAAGCUUCAGGUUUUUUUGUAGCCAUUUUUUAGCUUGAAAUUGUACUACCUACAGUAAUGUACUAUUGUUUAGGUGCUUGGUAGAUUUGAUCCCAAAUGAAACCAAAAGCAGCAAGAUGGAUAACACAGUUGUGGUUGAUGGGGCUGAUGGUGUGGGUGGAGAGAAACUUGAAGUUUUGAAAACUAUGUUAACCAGUUUAGUUAUCGAGGUUCGUAAUACUGGUAAAGGUGGGGGUAUAUUGAAUGAUGGGGUUGGUGCUGAUUACGUACAGAAAGAGAAGGUUGUUCCACGUGGAUUUUGUUCCAAUGAUGUUGGAUUAAGGUGUGCUAUCUCUUCAGAUUUGGGAGUAAAUUACUGUUAUCAACUGUUUAUAAGCUAAUUAUUCUUGCAUCUCACUGAAUUGUUGAUCAAAGGUUAAAGGCACAUUAAACAUGUAACAAAUUUGUGAUAUUCUUUUCUUUUUAUAACUGGUGUGUAUAAUUAACAAAUUUUCGAUGGUUUGAUAACUGUCUAGUUAGCACUGCUUCAUGAAGUGAUCACUAAUCAGACACUUGAUUGAUUCAUGAUGGUAUUUGAUGGUAUUUUUACUAUGAUACUGUUUCUAGAGUAUGUUUUGAAAUCUGGUCGUGCUCUGAACUUUUGUUUAUUAGGUGUGCAAGUUUGGAUGGUGAUGCUGAUCGCCUUGUAUAUUUUUCGGUCCCAACUAACAGUAGCAGAAAAAUUGAUCUUAUUGACGGGGACAAAAUAUUAUCCUUGUUUGCAUUGUUCAUCAAGGAGCAACUAAGUAUUCUGACCAAGAAGGGCACUGAAAACCUUAAUAAUAAUUCUCAUGCUCGACUUGGUGUUAUACAGACAGCUUAUGCUAAUGGAGCAUCCACUGAUUAUCUCAAACAAUUGGGUUUGGAAGUCAUUUUUACUCCUACAGGGGUAAAACACUUGCAUGAGAAAGCUGCUCAGUUUGAUAUUGGAAUCUAUUUCGAAGCCAAUGGUCAUGGCACUAUCUUGUUCUCUGAAUCCUGGUUGUCUUGGUUAGAGGCCAGGAACAAUGAAUUAGGUUUUGCAUCUGAAGGUAAUUUAUGAAUAGAGUCCUUUUCUUAGAAGAAUUAUCUAUUAUAGUUUAUCGAGUAUUAUUGUCAUUUUUUUCUCAGGAUCCGAACAACAGAAAGCUGCUCUAAGACUACUCUCUGUCAGUAAAUUGAUCAACCAAGCUGUUGGAGACGCUUUGAGUUGCUUGCUUUUGGUUGAGGUUGUUUUGCAACAUAAGGGUUGGUCCAUACAUAAAUGGAAUGAACUUUACCUGGAUUUACCUAGUCGACAACUUAAGGUCAGUUUUCGUUAUCACUCUUGGAAAAGAAACUAGGGUAGUCUUUCCCAUCUAUAGAAGGGAUCAUCAUAUCUACCUUUUCUUGCUAGUUUUCCAUAUUUUGACUAAGAUCUUUCUUUUGCACGUUACACCUAAGACAUCUUAUAACUCGUUGAAGAGAUGGACCAUUUGAUUUUCUAUACGAGGGAGAAAGUAUGCUUCAUGUCUGUUGAACUUGAAAAGGAUUCAUAUAGUCCUCAAUAGAGAGGCUGUGUUCGAGGGCUUCUAACUAAACUCCUAGAGUUUGACUAGUAUAAGCUUGCAACAUUAGCUUAAAAAUAUUAGAUUUAUUACAUCAGAAAGAGAAAAAAGGGAAAAUCUUUGAUACAACUGAUUUCUGCAUGCUGCGUCCACUUUAUAAUGUUUGUCUUGUAAACUCUGCUAUAGUGUAGUCUUACAUUAGCAAUGCUCAAACAAUUUAAUGUUUCCAUUGCUUGUGCUAGGUCAAAGUUGUAGACAGAACAGCUGUUGCAACAACAAAUGCCGAAACUGUAGCUAUUAGUCCCCCUGGCAUUCAAGAAGCCAUUGAUGCUGAAACUGGUAACAUUUUUGUCAUUGAUCUCAUCUCAAUGCAUGUUUUGGUGCUUAUCCUUGGGCUUAUUUUUUGGUUCAAUUAACAUCUAACUGUUGGGGGAAUAUUUUUCUCUUAAAUCUCUUUCGAGGCCUCGUGUAUAUUAACUAUUUCUGAGAACUCAUACAAAAUGCAGCGAAGUACCCUAGAGGCCGGUGUUUCAUACGACCAUCAGGUACAGAGGAUGUCAUUCGUGUUUAUGCAGAAGCCUCCACCCAAGAAGCUGCAGACAGCUUGGCCGGUUCUGUUGCCAAAAUUGUUGAUCGUUUUCUAGGUUUUAGCAGCUCUCAGCGGUAGCUUCCCUAAUCUUUCACAAUGUAACAGAAAUCACAAAUGGAGACGCAGAUUACUGUGGGUGCUUUAUAUUUUAUGUUUUGUUUUGAAGGUAAUAUAUUUUGUUAUACUUUUUUAUAACAUUAAACUUUGUCAUCUUACUUUUACAGGCAUUGAUUUCAAAUUGAGUUUUCCCCACUACUUUGAACAUUACAGAGUUCCUUUUCUGUUCGGUAUCUACUCGUCUAUGUGGAUGCUUCCCUGUGCGGUAAAAGUACCCCGCAAUCUUUCACCUUCAUCCCUUGCCCUUCAUUGUCCUGGUUGAUGAAAUGGUUAAACUACUUCUUUGGCUGACAAUUCCGACUCCAACCGAGUAAUCCAUUUGGUGAUGGGCAAGGAACACAUUGGUUUUCCUCCCAUUCUGUGCCCCACAUUGAUUUCCUAGAGAAGAGUGCAAUGUCUCUUCCCAAGCUUGUGAAACGAACUUGUCAUAGUAGGUAAAAGCCCCAUCGGCCUUGUCAAAAAUGAGAACCUUUUGCCGAUCAACUUCCCAAUGCCCAAACUCUUGGAAGCUCUCCUCUCUGUGGGUAACAUUUUAUGUUUGUGGAAGUGGGUUUUAUUUGUUUUAUAGUAAUUCACUGAAAUUAUAUCAAGAAACUAUUGGAACACCCGGAAAUAUAUUUGAGCACCUCCAACUUCUAAUAAUUAACAAAAAAAAAAAAAGAAAAAAAAAGGAAGCUUUUGUGCUUCAGGGUACAGCCUUUUUUAUAUUCAACAUCACCAUAAGCAUUUUAAAUAAUAAUAUAAAAACCAGCACCAUAAGCAUUACUUUCCAACAUCAAAUUAUGUUUAUCCAAUUCCUCAAGUACAAGGUUAACCAACGAGGAAUCUACAAGAAAUGCCAGUCCUUUAUCAUUAAAUAUUUAAAGUGUUAAUAAACAAAUCCAUCCACCAAACCAUCAAAAACAAUGUCAAACUGAACAAUGAUGUACCAUUUCCCUGAGAUCCUUCCCAUGUAAGUCUUGAAGAGCAUCAUACUCCACCAAUCUAUCUCCUUCACUCACUUCACACAAAUUUUUCAUUGUAAGAACAAAAAUUUUAUUUACUCGAGUUUAAAAAGGGUAAAAAUAAUUAGUUUAACUUUUUAAUUUUAAAUUGAAUUGAUUCAAUCGAUAAUUUGAUCUAAUAUAUGAACAAUUAACUAACAAAUAAAAAUACAUCCCACCACAUAAUUAUUUUAAGUGUGUUAUUUUCAAAAUAAAAAUCCCAAAGUUUUGAUAUUUAUAAAAGAAAUUAUUUAGUUAAUUAUUAAUAAUCCACCAACAUGACAUGUUAUAGUAUAUGGUCAAAAAUAUUUAAAAUAAUUAAUAUAAUAAAAAAAUAUGUCUUCUUAGUGGGGCUUUUUAAUUUUAAUUAAUCCAAUUUAAAUAACUAUAUAUAAAUAUUAUUAAAUUUUAAAUAAAAAAUAAAUUCAACUAAACCGGUUCAUGGGCCGGAUACGAGCCCACCGUUUUUCUUCAACAAACCGCGAAAGAGCAGAUUGCUUGAGUGAUGUUUAUAAACAAACGGCCGAGAAAAUGACAAUACACUCACCAAACCAGCAAACCAAACGAAGGAUAACAUUAAAAAUGAACACUUAGAAAGAUAUCUUCUAGAUUUUGCUUAUUAAGGCUUUGAUUUGAUCGUUUCCUCGAUCUCAUUUAAUAUUUUUAAAAUUAAUCUCAAACCCAAACCAUCCCAUUCAGCGGAAUUGACAAUGCUGCUUAACGUGGGUACUUUCAUAAGAUCAGCUACUCGAUUUUCUCCUUUCAUUAUAACCCAUUCUUCUCCUUCUUCGUUUUGUUUCAGUUUCUCUCCAAAGCAAACCGUCUCUUUUACUCUACAAUCAUCGCAAAUGGCGUCUUUUACUACGUUAUCUCAAUCGCCUCCAAAGCUAUUGUUUCGUCAGUUGUUCGAGAAAGAAUCAUCUACUUAUACUUACCUUCUUGCUGAUUGUUCCCACCCUGAUAAACCAGCGCUUGUAAGUGUUUAUUUUAAUGAAAAUAAAAUCUAGGUUUUGUUUGCUUUUGGGUUUUUUUUUAUUAGUAUUUGAUAUAUGGUGAAAAUGGGCGUGUGCAGUUGAUUGACCCUGUAGACAGGACUGUUGAUAGAGAUUUAAAUUUGGUUAAAGAAUUGGGGCUGAAGCUUAUUUAUGCUAUGAACACUCAUGUACAUGCUGAUCAUGUUACUGGAACUGGCCUCAUCAAGGUUUUCCCUUUCUCACUUUUACUCUACUCUGUUCUCUAUAUUUUUGGGGUUAUUAGAGAAAUAAAGUCUACUAUCAGUCAAUUUUGUUACUUAAGACUUGAGACUGUUGAACUGGAUAAUUCAGGUUCUAAUCAUUCAGGGAAUGUUAUUGGCUCUUAGAUUGACGUAUAUGAAUGUGAUUGUUCCUUUUAGGGCAAGGUGCCUGGUGUCAAAUCCGUUAUUUCAAAGGCCAGUGGUUCCAAGGCUGAUGUUUUUGUUGAAGCUGGUGACAAAAUCUCUUUUGGGGAUCUCUUUCUUGAGGUAGGCUUGUGUACGCAAAACUGCUUGUUCUGUCAGUUUCGUUGUAUGGAUCUUUUUAAACAAUUCAGGAGAAUAUAGCUAUGAUGUUGCGGUGGUUUACGUAUUGCUGGCUCGUUAUGAAUUCUAAAAGAUGAAAAAGAAAAUAGAGUUAGAGAUGUGAGUAUACUGUGUAGGUAACCAUGAUCAGCAUUCUAAUGGUUUUGUUAUUUAAUUGGUAAUUUGGUUUUUUUAUUUUGAUUACACCCAAACUUCCAAUGUGGUUUAACGGUCAUUAUUGAAUGAUGACCAGUAGGUCUACUGCAGUACUAUCUUCUAUAAUAAGGUAAUAAUUGCAGGUCCGUGCUACUCCUGGUCAUACAAUGGGUUGUGUUACCUAUGUCACGGGAGCUGGACCAGAUCAACCUCAGCCAAGGAUGGCUUUCACAGGAGAUGCUCUGUUGAUAAGGGGAUGUGGGAGGACAGAUUUUCAGGUGUAAUGUCUUGAAAAUGUUAUUGCAGCUAAUCGCAAAAAAAUGGAACGAAUUAAUAUUCAUGUCAUUAAUACAAAAGAAGCAGUCUAAAUUAAAAUGUUAAGCAUGUAAACCAAUCUUGGCUUUGCUUAUGCAAUUUAAAAUUUUUGUAUGUCCCCAUGUGAUGUUUGGAUUACGAAUGUAUAUUUAUCCACUGAUAUUUGUCCCAGGAAGGGAUUGUCGAACCAAUAAUUGAUUGUUUUUGCAUUUAAUUUGCAUGUCCUAUUUGUAUUUCAAACAAUAGGACCGAUGUGUAGAUAUCUAACUCUCGGUUACCUAUUUGUCUAGUCUUCUACUUAUCAGUGCCUACCUUGUUACUGUGGUUGCACAUAAAAUGUUUGUCAUUCAGAAGCCUCAUGGUAAACUAAUCAGUAAUUCAAUCAUCCUUGAAGUAAAAGUUUGAACUAUCAGGGCUAUACUUUUUGCAAUGGAUUUUCAGUCAUGAGUACAUAAAUGCUUGUUUUAUAUGCUGGCAAUUUCUUUCCAUCUGGAUGUCAUUGUCAUGGAUAUUUCUUUGUCUUCCAGGAUUUUUGUUAUGCUUAAGUUUUUAAGAUAAUUUUCUCUAAUGCUUCCACAUUCAGUAGCCAUUGACUAGUACUGAUUAAUACAUUUUGCAGGGUGGAAGUUCACAGCAACUCUACAAGUCAGUGCAUUCACAGGUAAGGACAGGGUCCUUUUAUGGUCCCAUUCUUUGAGUUCUCAAAAUUUUAUUGUAAUUGUCAAAAUUUGAAUAAAAAUUAUGGACUUAUUUGUUUCAUGGAUCCAGAUUUUUACAUUACCGAAAGAGACAUUGCUAUAUCCAGCUCAUGACUACAAAGGAUUCUCAGUAAGAUAUAUAACUUGAUUCCUAUCAUUUCUUACAUAUAUAAAUGAUUGUUUGAUUAUAUAAAACUCAUUGAUUAUAGGUAACCACUGUGGGAGAGGAGAUGCUAUAUAAUCCACGCUUGACAAAGGAUGAGGUAUUCUUUCCGGAACCAUCCAUCUUCCCUUUUCUUUGGAAAACAGCUUGUUACUUUUGACAAUAGAACAUUAAGAGUGCAUGUUUUCAUUUCAGUGAUAAGAAAGGGUUUCCUUUUAUCCGUAUGAUCUUUAACUCGUAUAAGCCGCAUAUAACUUCUGUAAUUAAAAUUGCAUAUGCAUUGAACAUUUCUUGCUGAGCAUUGGUUUGAUUCUCUUGGAUGGGACUAUUCCAAUGAACAUCGCUAUGGUAAAACAUGAAAUCAUGAAAAAGCAUGACAUCUCGAUAUCUUCACGCAUUUGAUUGAAGAUUAUUCUUUAUUGUGGUCAUAGAAUACUAGUUUCAAUGUGUCCUAUCAACAUGUCUGAUAAGAUAUUAUUUGUUGAAUACCCUUUUUGCAGGAGACUUUCAAAAAUAUCAUGGAAAGUAAGUUGAUGCUCACUAUAUCCAGUCUAUAAAAGAUUAGAAAAAAAAACAAAAAAGCAUCUUUGGGUUUUUUCGGAUUGCUGGUUCUGAUAUCUCCUCUGUUUUUGUUGGUGCAACAGAUCUUAACUUGGCAUAUCCUAAGAUGAUUGAUGUUGCAGUGCCAGCAAAUAUGGUUUGUGGGUUGCAAGAUUUGGAACCUAAAGCCGAUUGAGGCUUUGCUGGACACCAUCCAUAAGUGUGCACAGAUUUUAGUUGUAUUAUAAUUCUGGAUCUUAAUAUCACUGGAUAUGCUAAAUAAAAUGGCUAGAGAAGCCACGUGAUUGCAAGGAAUCCAUAAAUUAUAAAUAUAUACUAUAUCAUAUUGUAAUCAUGUAAUAUUGUCGUCUUUCUAUCUGCAUCAACUUGUGUUCUUCAUACAUACCCUCCUAAGUUACCGAACUAUCUAAACAACAGAACACCAAUCAUAUUUUUAUUAUGGACCAAUCAUAUUUUUCAGGUUUGAUUUGAUUAUUGGACCAACCAAAUUCAGCCAUAUCCUCUACAUUUCUGAAUUCGAUCAAGUAGAACAUAUUAGUAGGUAUAAGCUAUGAGUUGAAUUUGAUUUCAAGAUAAAUAACGAGUUGUACAAAUUUGUUGGAUUAACUUUGAUUUUAAUUUCAAUAUUAUAAUUUGAAUUCAAAUUAAUAUUAAAAAUUUUCAUUAUAAAUUAACUCGUGAAUUUUUUUCAAAACAAAUAUUAGAAGAUUAGAAUUUAAAUCAUUCGAUAACUUAAACUGACUCGAUUAACCGAAGUGAAUCAGGAAUAAUUUAGCUUCACAAGAUGUGUCGUUUAUAUCCCAAAUUACAAUGUAAUAAUAAGUUAAAAUUGCCAAACUGGGUAUGAUAGGCAGAAGGCAGCUUCCUGAACCCGAUCCUAACGCUCAAUUUUCCCUAGUUGAUUGAUCACCAUAACCAGAUCUAAUUUCCCAAUCUAGAAUCUCCCUGGGAGGAGAAAUGAGGAAUGAAGAUAGAGACAGAGGUGUAGCUGUAGAUAAACAGCAGCAUAACCAAUAUGGAACAUUCCAAGGAGUUGCCAACUACCCUCCUCCACGUCCUCCACGUCCCCACCACCACAACCCGCAUCCGCAACAGCAACAGCACCAGCACCAGCAACAGCAACAGCACCAUGUGCCAACUAUUGGGUUUCCUCCACCUCCCUCUAUCGCUCCUCCUCAGUAUUACCCCCAAGCCUACCAGACCGUGCCGGGUAUUCUACAAAUAUGAAAAAACUUUCUUCUCUUUUUAUUAGCUUAUCGAAAUGAAGGAUUUUGAGAUUUGGGUUCUUGUUAGAUGAAUGGUUAAUGAUAUUUUUUAAAUGAAAGAUCCAAGUUUUUUAAUGUUUUAGAAGAAAAGGUGUUUAAAUAUUAGGAGUUUUUUAGCAGAGAAAGAAGAUAAAUAAAUGCAUGAGAUACAUUAGCAAUAUUAUUUGGAUUUGGUUGUCUAAUGUAUUGAAUUUUUUUUUUAAGGGUGACCUGAGUAGGUGUGGGAAGAUUCAAAGUUUUUUCUAUUAUAGCAGAUAUAUAUAUUUUAAUGGUUUAAGAAGAAUGGAAGUUGGUUUCAAAGGAAGAUGAGAAAUAAAAGCAUUUAUAUAUAUAUAUAUGAUAUGUCAUUAAUUCAUAAACCAAACAUAUAAAAUAUGUAAAAAUGUUUGGGGGUUAAUUAUGGUGUUUUGACAAUCCUGUAACCUUCAACUUGAAGAAAACCUUAGGUUUCUAAAAUUUAUGUGAAGAGUUAGAAUGGUAGGCUUCAUGGAUCUGAAUAACUAGAAUCAAUGUAAGAGUGGUAUAUUGUGUGAAGUUUGGUUUCUUGUAUAUAAUUGUAUCGAAAACAAUGUUACAUGAUUUAAAAUGAUCGUUCAUCCAAUUUAACAAAGCCUGCAUUAUGUUGAUAAAAAAUUUUAAUUCAUGUUGCGGUUUGUUCUAUGAUAUCUUUGAUGUCUAGGUUAUGAUGUUGCUGAAGGAACACCUGUAAGAGAUAAGCUACCGUGCUGUGGCAUUGGAUUCGGAUGGUUCUUGUAAGUGUACAUAGUUUUCUUUGUUUUUUAGGAGUUCUUUACAUAUGAAGUAAAACAAGUAGCAACUUGAUGGAUAUGUCAUUAUGCUUUAACUUGAACAAAUCAUUUUCCUUUAUCUCUAAUUGCCAUUUCUUUAAAAGAAAAAGAGGGAGUUGUGUAGUUUACAGUUUGGACAAAUGGGAAGUUAAUAUAAUGCACUAUUUGGAUGAAAAUGUUAUAAGAAACCUGUGAGUUCAUAUUGGGUUUAUUUUUAUUGAAGCAAUGGUUAGCAUGUAGCAAUCACAUGUUUUAUUAUUAUUACUAUUAUUAUUAUUAUUUGGAUGUAAUGAUGUAACUUAGUUGUAUUCCAACUAAGUUUGUUAGUGGUAGUAGGUGGUGAUUUAUUUUAAGUGGAUGUAAUGAUAAAACUUAGUUGUAUUCCAACUAAGUUUGUUAGUGGUAGUAGGUGGUGAUUUAUUUUAAGUGGAUGUAAUUAUAAAACUUAGUUGUAUUCCAACUAAGUUUGUUAGUGAUAGUAGGUGGUGAUUUAUUUUAAGUGGAUGUAAUGAUGAAACUUAGUUGUAUUCCAACUAAGUUGUCAAGUUGUAAGCUUGUAUAAAUAGGCUUUAUGCCAUUUUAAAAAAAUGAAUGAAUUCAAUCAAGAUUUCAUCCAUAUACUCUCUAUUUUAGCUUUGCUUAAAAUUUAUUUCAUUUUUCUUCUUUGUUUCUGUCGCAAGUCUCGAUUCUUGCUCCUCAAGCUUUUUGUUGAACCUUGCUAUUUGUUGCACUUAGCUCCAACAAUUGGUAUCAAGAGCCUAUUUCUUAAGGGAUCUGUUAUACAAAUUCAUGGCUUCAUCAAGCUUUUCACCAGCUGCACCUCAAGUCUUCAAUGGAGAAGGCUACCACAUAUGGGUGGUUAAAAUGAAGACCUACCUACAAGCUUUCGAUCUGUGGGAGGUAGUCAACUCAGAUGUUGAACCAGAGCCACUUAGAGGCAAUCCAACAGUGGCUCAAAUCAGGCAGCAUGCUGAUGAGAGGACCAAGAGGCACAAAGCCAUGUCUUGCAUCCAGAACUCAGUGUCAGAUGUGAUUUUCACAAGGAUUAUGGCCUGUGAAUCACCAAAACAAGCCUGGGACAAGUUGCAAGAGGAGUUUCAAGGGACAGAGAGGACAAGGCAGCAACAGUUGCUGAACUUAAGGAGAGAUUUCGAGAAUUUGAAGAUGAAGGAAGAAGAAACUAUCAAGCAGUACUCUGACAGGAUUAUGGCUGUGGUUAACAGCAUAAGGCUCCUUGGAGAGUAGCUCAAGGAAGCUAGGAUAGUGGAGAAGGUUAUUGCAACUCUGCCCGAGAGGUAUGAGGUAAAAAUCUCAUCUCUCGAGGACUCAAGGGACCUGUACACCAUCUCCCUGACAGAGUUGAUCAAUGCUUUAUAUGCUCAAGAGAAAAGAAGAGCAAGCAGACUGGAGGAGCAUCAAGAAGGUGCCUUUCAGGCAAGAACAAACACUGCCUACAAAGGCAAGAAGGCCUGGAGAGACAAGCCAAGGACUGAUGUUGCAAGAAAAGAGGGUCAGACUUGCAAGCACUGCAGAAGGGCUGGUCAUCCAAAAGAAAAAUGCUGGUUCAAUCCAGAUGCUGUAUGUCAGCAUUGUAAAAAGAAGGGUCAUGUUGAGAGAGUCUGCAAGAGCAAGGCCAAAUCAAGGCAGAGUCAGUUUCAACAGAAGAAAGCUGAGGCUCGAGUAGCUAAGGAGGACAGUGACCAAGAGGAGCAAGUCUUUGCUGUGUUAUGCUCAGCUGCUCAAGAAAGGUUCUCAUCUGGUUGGCUUCUAGACAGUGGAUGCACCAACCACAUGACACCUGAUACUGCAAUCUUCAAGUCUUUAGACAGAAGCUGCAGAACUAAAGUCAAGAUAGGAAAUGGACAUUUUAUUCAAGCUGAAGGCAAGGGUGAUGUGCUGAUAUGCACCCCCACAGGUGCCAAAGUGAUUUCAAAUGUGCUUUUGGUGCCUGAAAUUGACAGAAACCUGCUCAGCAUAGCUCAGUUGCUGGAGAAAGGUUAUUCUGUUGUGUUCAAAGACAACCAAUGCCAAAUCAAUGAUCCAAGUGGAUCCAAGCUGAUGGCAGUUCCUAUGGCUAAUAAGAGCUUUGUAGUUGACUGGACCAGGGAGUCAGACAUUGCCUACACAGUCACAUCAGAUGAAUCCAAGCUUUGGCAUCAAAGACUGGGACAUGUCAACUUCAGAUCGAUGGCUCGAAUGGUCAGAGAGGACUUGGCUGAAAACUUCAUCAACUCAGUGGAUCAUGAUGAUGUGUGUGAAGUGUGUCAGCUAGGAAAGCAGGCCAGACUCCCAUUUCCCUCGAAUCAAGCCUGGAGAGCCUCUGAAAAACUCCAACUGGUGCACACUGAUGUGUGUGGCCCUAUGAGGACUGAGUCAUUAAGUGGAAACAGGUACUUCAUACUGUUCAUUGAUGAUUUUUCAAGAUAUUGCUGGCUUUACUUCCUAAAACAGAAAUCAGAGGCGGCCUCAGUGUUUUGGAAGUUCAAGACUGCUGCUGAGACUGAAACAGGUUGCAAGCUGAAGUCCAUAAGGUUUGAUAAUGGGACUGAGUACACCUCAGCUCAGUUCCAAGCCUUCUGUGAUAAGGCAGGCAUCAAACAUCAACUUACCAACACAUAUACACCUCAGCAAAAUGGUGUAAGUGAAAGGAAGAAUAGGAGUUUGAUGGAUAUGGCCAGGUGCUUGAUGAUUCAGAAGAAUCUGCCUAAAGCACUAUGGGCAGAGGCAGUUAACACUGCAAACUACAUUCAAAAUAGGCUUCCAACCAAGGCCUUGGAUCAGAAGACUCCAUUCGAAGCCUGGUUUGGAUUCAAGCCAUCACUGGCUCAUCUGAAGGUCUUUGGAUGCAUCUGUUAUGCUCAUGUACCUGCUGUCAAAAGGGACAAAUUGUCUGAAAGAGCUCGACCUGGUAUUUUGGUGGGCUACAGCACUGUUAAGAAGGGCUAUAGGAUCUUGGAUCCUUCAACAAAGAAAGUCUCAGUCAGUAGGGAUGUGGUAUUUGAUGAAAAGUCAUGUUGGAACUGGGAAAAACAUGAACCUGAGGAAGUUUCAGAAGGACUUGCAGCAGAUCAAGCUGAGCCAGAUCAAAAUGUUCCUGAAAUGGACAUUGAUGAUGAACCAGUUAGAGGAACAAGACCAUUGACUGAGAUUUAUGAAAGAGCUCAUGUAGCCAUAGCUGAACCAAGCAAUUUUGAAGAGGCUGAAGCUCAGCAAGAGUGGAAGCAGGCAAUAGCUGAGGAGAUUAGCAUGAUUGAGAAGAACCAGACCUGGGAAUUAGUUGAAAGGCCAGUCAAAAGGAAGAUAAUUGGGGUGAAAUGGGUGUACAAAGCCAAGCAAAAUGCUGAUGGUACCUUGAACAAACUGAAAGCAAGGCUAGUUGUCAAGGGGUUCAGUCAGAGGUAUGGCCUGGACUACCUAGAGACCUUUGCACCAGUGGCCAGGCUAGACACCAUCAGAUUAUUGAUUGCCUUAGCAGCACAGCUCGAGUGGAAGAUCCAUCAACUCGAUGUGAAAUCAGCCUUUCUGAAUGGUUUCUUAGAUGAAGAGAUCUAUGUUGAACAACCACAAGGGUUUGAGAUAGCUGGCAGAGAGCAUAUGGUCUACAAACUGAAGAAGGCCCUAUAUGGCUUAAAACAGGCUCCAAGGGCCUGGUACAGCAGAAUCGAUGGCUACUUGACUAAUUUGGGAUUCGAUCGAAGCAAGAGUGAGCCAACACUGUAUGUCAAGAAGCAAGGGACACAAACACAGCUCAUUGUAUCCCUAUAUGUUGAUGACCUGCUGGUGACAGGAGGAGAUCGAGCAGUGCUGGUCGAUUUCAAGACCAAGAUGCAAGAAGUAUUUGAAAUGUCUGAUCUAGGGGAAAUGUCUUAUUUCAUUGGAAUGGAGGUGACUCAAGCACAAAAUGGGAUAUUUCUAAGUCAGAGAAACUUUGCCACAAAGAUUCUGACCAAGUUCUCCAUGCAAAACAGUAAAGCAACUAAAACACCUGUUGCUGUUGGAGAAAAACUAUCGAGCCAAGGUGAUUUUGAGAAGGUUUGUGAAACAACCUACAGAAGUCUAGUUGGUUGUCUGUUAUAUUUAACUGCCACUAGACCAGACAUAAUGUAUGCUGUAGGAUUGCUCUCAAGGUUCUUGCAUUGUUGCAAUAAAAAGCAUUUACAAGCUGCUAAGAGAGUGCUUAGAUAUGUCAAAGGUACUUUGAGCUAUGGUUUAAGGUACAGCAAGGAAGGAAAUCUGAAGCUGGUUGGCUACACUGAUAGUGACUGGGCUGGCUCGAUAGAUGACAUGAAAAGCACCUCAGGGUAUGCUUUCAACCUUGGUUCAGCCAUGUUUUGCUGGAGCUCGAAGAAGCAAAGUCUCGUGGCUCAAUCUACUGCUGAAGCAGAAUAUGUGGCAGCUGCAAGUGCUGUCAACCAAGCCAUUUGGCUAAGGAAAAUCUUAGCUGAUUUGAAAGUGCAUCAAAAGGAAGCUACUGAGAUCUUCUGUGACAACCAAUCUUCAGUUGCAAUUGCUAAAAAUCCAGUGUUCCAUGGAAGAACAAAGCAUUUCAGCAUCAAGUUGCAUGUUGUUCGAGAAAUGGAGCAAGCUCAGGAAGUGAAGCUGAUCCAUUGUAAUUCUGAGGAUCAACUUGCAGACAUUUUGACUAAAGCCCUUAAUGUCACAAGGUUCGAAUGUCUAAGAAGGAAGCUAGGUGUUUGCUCCAUGCAAACCAAGGAGGAGUAUUGAAGCAAUGGUUAGCAUGUAGCAAUCACAUGUUUUAUUAUUAUUACUAUUAUUAUUAUUAUUUGGAUGUAAUGAUGUAACUUAGUUGUAUUCCAACUAAGUUUGUUAGUGGUAGUAGGUGGUGAUUUAUUUUAAGUGGAUGUAAUGAUAAAACUUAGUUGUAUUCCAACUAAGUUUGUUAGUGGUAGUAGGUGGUGAUUUAUUUUAAGUGGAUGUAAUGAUGAAACUUAGUUGUAUUCCAACUAAGUUGUCAAGUUGUAAGCUUGUAUAAAUAGGCUUUAUGCCAUUUUAAAAAAAUGAAUGAAUUCAAUCAAGAUUUCAUCCAUAUACUCUCUAUUUUAGCUUUGCUUAAAAUUUAUUUCAUUUUUCUUCUUUGUUUCUGCCGCAAGUCUCGAUUCUUGCUCGGCAAGCUUUUUGUUGAACCUUGCUAUUUGUUGCACUUAGCUCCAACAAUUUUAUAUCAUAAUUAGAUUGUUGAGCUGGCUGUCAUACUUAGAUGGUCUUUCAUUUUGCUACUUGUUAAACCAUACCACUUUCACAUUCAUACUUGAAAUGGCUGGGAUUUAGUGCCAUUCUACUUAGCAGCCUCGUGUAAUACACAGGUGAAAUGUUUAUCUUUUCAUGUCACCUUAAAGUUCCCAUUUCCAUGACGGUAUUGUUAAUUGAAGACUGGUAGACACCCCAAAAUACGGAAAUUGUUUUGGAUGUAUACCACUUUACCAUGCAUGAUUGCAUGACAUAUAUUUUUCUACAAGUUUGCAUGACAUUUUAUUAUUAUAUUGGUCGUUAUUUUCUGUACUCGUAGCUUCCAUUUAUAUAUUUUUAUGAAUUUUGAACUUUCUUGUUUAAUAAGAGAAGUAUGCUGCUUUGAAGGUUCAUCAUUGGUUUCUUCAUUGGUGGCCUUCCCUGGUAUAUUGGAUUCUUUGUUUUACUUUGUGCAAGGAUAGACGACAGAGAGAAAGCAGGAUAUAUUGCUUGCACAAUUGCCGUGAGUAUCUUUUCUAUCAGUAUUUUUUCUUUUCCAAUUUUAUGAAAGCCAUCCUGCCUUGUAUUGAUCAUCAACUUAACCAUUAUAUAUAUAUGUGUGUGUAUCUUAUGUAUUUGUACCAUGCUUUAUCUUCAAUGCAAAUAUAAGUUAAACUACAAAGAUUGGAUUGUUAAAAAAAAGUUUAAAAUGUUAAAAAAAUUGGAAAUUUUGAUUUUGUAAGAAUGAUAGAAAACCAAGGUCAAUGCUUGCAUAUGUUAUCUACUACAUACACAAUCGGGUCGAUGUCUGUCUAUAUUUUUCUUGUUUAGAAAUCGUGUUCAAUUGGGUUACAAUAUGUACUAUUGAAGUGUCAAUUUUUAAUUUCCUUAUCAAGAUUACACAUUUUUUUGUUAAUAUUUGGAAUCACUUAAUGGUUAUAAACCCUGCGUGGAUACUGUCCACAAAGUCUAGUUGGAAAAUCCCUUGUAUUCUUUGUCCUUUCUAAGAACUUUUCCUUUCCAUCAUUCUCGCUUCUGUUUUCUUUUUUCUUCCCUCUACUUUAAGUCAUUAUCUAACGUAGAUAUCCCUUGUAUUCUUUGUCCUUUCUAUGGCAAUCGAGUCAAUUGAUGGCAAGCCAAAAAAAAGAACAACUAUCCUGUCUUACUCGAUUGCCAUCCCUACUGUUAAACACCAUUAGGAAAAGGAAAAUUUUAGUUAAGCUUUAAAACAGCCAUGUUUUAACGAUGUUGGUGAUGGUGCUUGUGCAGGCCCUUCUUGCUACAAUUACAAUUAUUCUUAGUAUAACAAUUAAAGCUGGUGGGUGGUAAAGCACACCUGUUUUUGACUGAGAGAUGUAUAGGUUCCCAAAUAAUAUGUAUAUGCCCCCCCCCCCCCCCCUCUUUUAUUUUAUUUCAUUUCCAGUAAGUUAUUGUUUAUGAUAAUUUGCAACAAAUGUUUUUAUCAUUAUUUUGUUGGUGAAUGAUAAUAAGAUUAAACUUUACUUUCUUAAGCUCCAAUUCUUUGGACGUUGGUGAUUUUUUAUUAUAGUUGAUUCAUUGUAUGGUAUUAAUAUAAUUUAUGUCGCUUAAAAUUUAUAACUGGAAAUAUAAAUUUUAAAUUUUACUUCAAUUUGUUUGUAUUUAUAAAUGGUUAAUUCAAACUUAUCUUUUUCCUCAUUAUAUUUUAUAUUUAAAUUAACAUUUAAACUAUUUUCAUUAGCAAUAUUGUUAUUAAUUAUAUUUAUUAGCACCAGCAUCAAACUUACUAAAAAUUAAAUUUUUAACUUCAAAAAAAAAUAUUUUUAGCUAUUUAUCAUCACAGAGAAAAAAAGGUAAGGUCACCACGCCUCAUGCUUCAACACCUCAAACUAGACUCUCAUCACCUGUAUUUAUCAUCGAUUCAGAAUUUUAUUUUUACUGUAUUCCAGAACUACCUAGAAAUAUAUCUUCAAACUUCCUCUGGUUAAGUUCAUUGAUAGUCAACUUACUAUUAUUUCUAAAAAAAGACAAAUAAAUUGAUUAAUAGUAAUAUCAAUGGUUCAAUUUUAUUCUUACCAGUAUCUGUCCUUUAGAAAGGGGCUUAUAAAAGAGAUAAGAGGUGAGUAAACUUGAGCUUCAGCUUUCCACAAACACCUUAAUUUGAAGACACUGUUCUCUCAUACUAAAAAAGACAUGGAAGUUUACCUUGUAAUUAGAGAUUUGGUUUCAUUGCUUGUUGUUGGGUUAUUAAUGAUAUGGGGAUGGAGAGCUUUAAACUGGGUAUGGCUGGCCCCAAAAAGGCUCGAAAGGUGCUUGAGACAACAGGGUUUAUGUUUUUUUAUUUAAUCUGCAAUUUAUGAUAAUUCUUUGUUAUUUAUGUAAGGAAUUUAUUGGGAGGAAAUGCAGGAAAGAAUUCAUUUACGUGGUUUGGUCCAAGACCAAGGGUGAACAUUACGGACCCUGAAAAAAUAAGAGAAAUACUUAACAAAUUUAAUGACUUCCAGAAGGUACGUACCAAUCCACUGCUUAAUUUGCUUGUAAGCGGCCUUGCUAACCUCGAAGGAGACCGAUGGAGCAAGCGUAGAAAAAUCAUAAACCCUGCAUUUCAUCAAGAUAAGUUGAAGGUAUAGAAUAGUGAUGGGUACUCAAGACUUUACAGAAAACAUCAUACUUAAACCUGAGCUUUUCUGAUUUAGAAAUAAUUGGAUGCAGAAUAUGUUGCCAGCAUUUUAUCAAAGUUGUAGUGACAUGUUAAGAAAAUGGGAGAAGAUGGUGUGUACAGAAGGAUACAGUGAGUUAGAUGUGUGGCCUUAUCUCGUAGAUUUGACAAGAGAUGUGAUUUCCCGAUCUGCUUUUGGAAGCAGCUUCGAAGAAGGCAAACGAAUUUUCCAAUUACUAGAGGACCAACUCGUUCUCACAAUCAAAUUAAUACAAACUGUUUACAUUCCAUGAUGGAGGUAACCCUCAACUUAAUUUACUUGAAAAAGGUUGCAAAUGUUGGAAUUCGCUAAAUUCGUGUUUGUUUUCUUGAAGGUUUUUGCCAACAAAGACAAACAGGGAGAUGAAGAUGAAACACAGAGACAUAAAAGAGUCGCUUAGGGAAAUGAUAAAGAGAAGAGAGAAGGCAAUUAAAGCAGGGGAAGAGAGCAAUGAGGACUUGUUGGACAUACUUGUGGAAUCCAAUAUCAGAGAAAUGGAAGCAAAGAAUAUGGGGAUGAGCAUUGAGGAUGUGAUUGAGGAAUGCAAGCUGUUUUACUUUGCUGGCCAAGAGACCACUUCGGUCUUACUGGUGUGGACUAUGGUUUUAUUAGCAAGGUAUCCCGAUUGGCAAAGUAAAGCAAGAGAGGAGGUUUUGCAUGUUUUGGGUGACAGUAAACCUGAUGCUGAUGGCCUUAAUCGUCUCAAAGUUGUAAGUCCCUAGCAUGUCUUUUGAAGGUCCGAUCAAUGAGGUCGACAACUCAAAAACUUGGUUUUUUUUGUUUCGCUAAUUCUACAGGUAACAAUGAUAUUGUACGAGGUUCUAAGGUUGUACCCACCAGUGGUUGAGCUAGGACGUUCCGUUCCAAAAGAAAUAAAACUGGGGAAUUUGUUGUUACCAGCAGGAGCAGAAGUUUCGGUUCCGAUCCUGCAGAUCCACCAUGACAAAGAUCUUUGGGGUGACGACGCACGGGAAUUUAAGCCAGAGCGGUUGGCGGAAGGGGUUUCCAAAGCAACAAAGAGUCAAGUCACGUUUCUGCCAUUCGGAUGGGGUCCUAGGAUCUGUAUUGGCCAAAAUUUUGCCAUGAUGGAAGCCAAAAUGGCGAUGGCUAUGAUUCUCCAACGCUUCUGGUUCGAGCUUUCCCCUUCCUAUGCUCACUCUCCUUACAGCAGGGCAACUCUUCGUCCACAGCAUGGUGCACAGAUAGUUUUACAUAAACUUGGCUCUAAUUGAAUUGUUAUGUAAACAGAUCUUUUUGAAAAUAUAGCGUUUUAGUGUAUCGUCAAAGUCCGGUGUCUGUAAUGGUACAAUUCCGAUGCAUGAAUAGUAAAUUUUAAGAUGUUUGGUUAAGUCCGAAAUAAUAUGCAGAAAUUGAGUGUCUUGAAUGGAUGUAGUAUUUAAUGGUGGACAUAGUUGAGGGAUUAAUGUGGUAAUUAUCGAACAAAUAAUUGCAUAUGGUACAAAGACUUAUAUGGAAAUUAGAGCGGGGGGAGUAGAAAAUGACUACUUUGCUUUGGGCAUCAAUUUAGAAAGAUUUAAAGUACAAAUGUAUUAUUAGUUUAAAGGAUUUGUUUUAAAGAAGGAAUGACAAUUAAACCUCAUGGUUGAUUUGUGGAAGGGAACCGAUGAUGGGAUGAUUAUUCUUAGUGGUAAAAAAAAAACUAUUAAGGAGGUUAUUAUACUUGUUAUCAAUUUCUCAAAAUUUGAAUGGGUUUAAGUCAGAUUAUAUCGAGCUUGUUAGAUGAGUUCACGGACCAAGCUUGCAUGAUAAUGGCUGCUUACAGAAAUGUAUCUAUAGUUUUCUACAAAGUCAUAUGUGAAAUUAUGCAUUGGUACCGCAUAAACAUGUUUUAUGUCUAGAAUAUUAUACGUGUCUAUGUGCAUGGAAUCUACCUAGUAUAUCAUAUCAAUGAACAGUAUCAAUGGUGGACCUCAAAAGUAUUUUUGGGGGAUCAGAAUUAAACUGUAUGUUUUUAUGAAAGUAAAAAUUUAAUUUCACUAUUUUAUAGUCAAUUUCUUUUUAAUUUUUGAAGGAUUAAAUCAAAUUUUUAUAAAUUUUUAGGAGGUUGAAGUACAAUUUUAUCAUUACUAAUUUAAAAUUUUAUAAAUUAUAAAAAAUAUAAAUAAAAAAUUUUAUAUUUUAGGAUAGCCAAGGCUCCUGCCAACUCUAACUCACUGAAUAGUAUAAAUAAAUAAAUACCAUCAUCUAAAAUAUGGGUAAGUGUCCAAAAUAUGAUUUUGGUGAAAAUAUGUAGGGUUGGUCUCAUGGAAGUGUAAAGACAAGAACCCCGCUAAUGUAUGGGAUGUGUAAAGUUGAAUCUAGGGAGCAAAUAGGAGUGAAUCAUUUUGGUAACAUUUGGACAAGAAACAUAAUGAACAAAAUGAAAGGAGAGGAAGCUAGUAAAAGAUUUUUUUGGGUCAUAUAAUUUGUUUGGCAUAUAUUUUUAUAAUUUUUAAAUAUCAUUUUGGAGUUGAAUUAUAACUUUUUUUUAUAUAUUAUCUUAAAAUUUUAUAAAAUUUAAGGAGUUAAAACGUAAUUAUUCCAUGGGUCAGAGCUGCCCUCGCUUUGCAUUUCUUUGAGAUUCAGCCUUAUCUCAAUUGAGGGUUGAGUAGAAAGAUUUGGUGGAGCAAGCAAAGCUAUCAAUCAAGGUUGGAGAAAGCUUAGGAGGUCACAAUGCAUAAUUAUUUAAAUGUAAUUCUAAUAUUUAAAUAAAAUUUAUUAAUAUAAUAUCAGCAAGUGUUAAAUAUAAUGAUCAGAUACCAUUAUAUUUUUAGAAAGAGAAAAUAUGUUUAAACCUUAAAAACGGCGUUACUAAAAAUAAUAAUCACAAAUCUUGAAAUAUAAAAAAUAAAUUUUUUAAUAUAAUUAAAAUUUAAUUUGAAAGCCGAGCUGGAUAAAAUUCUAAUUUUAGAUAAUGGUACCAACAACAAAUCAAUAUUUAAAUUAAAAUUAAUCUAAAUUUAAUAUAAUCAAAUUGGACUCUAAUAUUAAAUUUAAUAUAAUCAAGGUUCAUGAACUUUAUACCCUAUGCUUUACGUAAUUGAAAAAAAAAUCAUUGGACAUAAAAGUCUACGAAAAGUUUCACUAUAUUAAUAAAUAAAUAAAUAAAAAAUAUUGCUACAAGAUUACAACACAAAGUUACAAUAAGAGCUUAUAACUUAACAAAGGCUAUCAAUAAAUAAUCUCAAACAAACUAAAGAGAAAUAUUGAGAGUCCCACCAAAUAGUGAUUGCCUUUAAAAGUUAAAAACUCGAAGUUAUAGUAUCUCAAAUGAAAUUAAACCAUGAACAUUAAAUUUUUCGAGUCUACUAGCUACUGUAAAAAAUUGAGCUCCAACGGACAACAAAUGAACCUUUGAUCGAAGAAAAUACGAAAAUUAGUCUCGGUAAAUCAAGCUGCCAAACUUACUUUUUAUCUUAUCUUUAAUUUGUAAUAAAAUUCAAAAUUAAGGUUUUGUUUGUUUCACUUAGAACAACUUUCAAAAAAUUAAUUUUGGAAAAUGGAUUGAUUUUUCGAAAUAGAUGAUAUUUUAUUGUGUAAAAAUUUUAUUUGUUGUUUGAUGAACUUUUUUUUAAAUCAUUUUUUUAGAAUUAUUUUUAGUGAAACAAAUAUAUCAUAAAUAUAUUUGUUACAAAAUAUUAUAUUAGUAUUUUCUUUUGACAAUUAAAGUUUAUUUUAUGAUAAGACAAUAUUUUAUAAUAAUUAAUAUCAUAUAUACUUAAUAAUAAAUCAUGUCUAAUUAAAAUUUAAGUUAAAUUAAAUAUAUUAAUAAAGCUACAUAUAAUCAUAUUUUAUAUAAUUAAAAUAUUAAUAUAAAUAUUUUUCAAUAAGAUAUUAAAGAAUAUUUAAAAUUUAAAUUUAUUAUUACUAAAAUUAAUUAUUAAAAUAAAAAUGUAAUAUUAAAUAAUUUAUCUAAUGAUAAGUUAUAUUAAUAAUUUAUUAUAUCAUUAAAUAAAAAUAAUUAAAUAUGUAUGUUUAAUAAUAUUAUGUUAUAAUAUUCAUUAUUAAUAUCUUAAUAUUCUUAAACAGCCGUGUCUCAAAGAUGGUUGUGAUGGUGAUGUGAUGAUGCAGCCCCCCUUCUUACAAUUACAAUAAUUUUUAGUGCAAUAAUUAAAGUUGCUGAGUGGUAAAGUAAACUUCUUUUGACUGAGAUGCAUGUAAUAUAUGGAUGUUGAGGUUUUAGACUGCGCCAUCUUUAAAGGGGUUAAAUUAUAUAUUUAUAUAAUAUGAUUAUUGUUUAUGAAUAUAAUAUUAUAGAUAAGUUUUUAUACAUAUUAAUAUGUAUUUUAUUUUAAUGUUAAUAUGUAGUUUUUUAGAUGUGGAUUCACCUAUAUAAUGAUAUGAACUCAUUAUGCAGUCUCAUGAAAUAUGCAAACACAUAUAGUGUAAAUAUAAAGUAUGAACCACCAAAAGUACAGAUCAACACCUAAUUGAAUAAUUGGAUAACAGAUAGGUAAUAAUAAAUAUCAUUCACUAUCCCCUCUUGUUUUAAUUUAUUUUAUUUCCAGUGAGUUAUUUUUUUUAUGAUAAAUUUGCAACAAAUGUUUUUAUCAUUAUUUUGUUGGUAAAUGAUAAUAAGAUUAAAUUUACUUUCGUAAGCUCCUUCAAUUCUUUGGAGUUAGUGGUUUUUUAUUCUGAUCUUUUUUUCUUAUUAAAUUUUUUAUAAUAAAUGUGUUUAUAGAUGAGGUUAGAUUAUAAUUGAAUUAUUUUAUAGCAUUAACAUAAUUUAGAUGGAUUAAAAUUUAUUCUACUAAAAAUAUAAAUUUAAAAUUUUACUUCAAUUUAUCUUAAUUUAUAAAUGAUGAAUUUAAAUUUACUUUUUCCCCAUUAUAUUCAAUUUUCCACAUAAUAUUUGGCCUAGAACAAAAACUAGAACAAUAAAACAAAUAUAAACUAUGCUACAAAGAGUAUACAGCUACAGAAAGCUGAAAUGUUUUCCAAAAAUUAUAUUGUUAACUUUUAAAAAAAAUAUUUUAGCUAUUUAUCAUCAUGAAGAAAAAAGAUACAGUCAUGCACCUGGCCUCAUGCUUCAACACCUCAACCUAGAUUCUCAUCACCUGUAUUUAUCAUCGAUUCAGAUCUUUAUUUUUACUAUAUUCUAGAUCUCCCUAUAAAUAUAUCUUCAAACUUCCUUUGGUUAAGUUCAUUCAUAGAUGGGUGAGUAAACUUGAGCUUCAGCUUUCCACAAACACCUUAAUUUGAAGACACUGUUCUCUCAUGCUAAAAACCACAUGGACGUUUACCAUGUAAUUAGAGAGUUGGUUUCAUUGCUUGUUGUUGGGUUAUUAAUGAUAUGGGGAUGGAGAGCUUUAAACUGGGUAUGGCUGGCUCCAAAGAGGCUCGAAAGGUGCUUGAGACAACAGGGUUUAGCAGGGAAUUCUUACAGGUUCCUUUCUGGUGACAUAAAAGAGCUCUUCACUAUGAGCAGACAAACAAGAGCCAAACCUAUGCCUCUUAGUGAUGAUAUUGGGCCUUAUGUUGUUCCUUUUCAACAUCAAACUGUCAACCAGUAUGGUAUGUUUUUUUGUUUAAUCUGCAAUUUAUGAUAAUUCUUUUUUAUUUAUGUAUGGAAUUUAUUGGGAGGAAAUGCAGGAAAGAAUUCAUUUACGUGGUUUGGUCCAAGACCAAGGGUGAACAUUACGGACCCUGAAAAAAUAAAAGAAAUACUUAACAAAUUUAAUGACUUCCAGAAGGUACGUACCAAUCCACUUGUUCAUUUGCUUGUAAGCGGCCUUGUUAACCUCGAAGGAGACCGAUGGAGCAAGCAUAGAAAAAUCAUAAACCCUGCAUUUCAUCAAGAUAAGUUGAAGGUAUAGAAUAGUGAUGGGUACUCAGACUUUAAAGAAAACAUCAUACUUAAACCUAUGCUUUUCUGACUUAGAAAAUAAUUGGAUGCAGAAUAUGUUGCCAGCAUUUUAUCAAAGUUGUAGUGACAUGUCAAGCAAAUGGGAGAAGAUGGUGUGUACAGAAGGAUACUGUGAGUUAGAUGUGUGGCCUUAUCUCGUAGAUUUGACAAGAGAUGUGAUUUCCCGAUCUGCUUUUGGAAGCAGCUUCGAAGAAGGCAAACGAAUUUUCCAAUUACCAGAGGACCAACUCGUUCUCACAAUCAAAUUAAUACAAACUGUUUACAUUCCAGGAUGGAGGUAACCCUCAACUUAAUUUACUUGAAAAAGGUUGCAAAUGUUGGAAUUCGCUAAAAGCGUGUUUGUUUUCUUGAAGGUUUUUGCCAACAAAGACAAACGGGGAGAUGAAGAUGAAAUACAAAGACAUAAAAGAGUCGCUUAGGGAAAUGAUAAAGAGAAGAGAGAAGGCAAUUAAAGCAAGGGAAGAGAGCAAUGAGGACUUGUUGGACAUACUUGUGGAAUCCAAUAUCAGAGAAAUGGAAGCAAAGAAUAUGGGGAUGAGCAUUGAGGAUGUGAUUGAGGAAUGCAAGCUGUUUUACUUUGCUGGCCAAGGGACCACUUCGGUCUUGCUGGUGUGGACUAUGGUUUUAUUAGCAAGGCAUCCCGAUUGGCAAAGUAAAGCAAGAGACGAGGUUUUGCAUGUUUUGGGUGACAGUAAACCUGAUGCUGAUGGCCUUAAUCGUCUCAAAGUUGUAAGUCCCUAGCAUGUCUUUUGAAGGUCCGAUCAAUGAGGUCGACAACUCAAAAACUUGGUUUCUUUGUUUCGCUAAUUCUACAGGUAACAAUGAUAUUGUACGAGGUUCUAAGGUUGUACCCACCAGUGGUUGAGCUAGGACGUUCCGUUCCAAAAGAAAUAAAACUGGGAAAUUUGUUGUUACCAGCAGGAACAGACGUUUUGGUUCCAAUCCUGCAGAUCCACCAUGACAAAGAUCUUUGGGGCGACGACGCACGGGAAUUUAAGCCAGAGCGGUUCACGGAAGGAGUUUCCAAAGCAACAAAGAGUCAAGUCACGUUUCUGCCAUUCGGAUGGGGUCCUAGGAUCUGCAUUGGCCAAAACUUUGCCAUGAUGGAAGCCAAAAUGGCGAUGGCUAUGAUUCUCCAACGCUUCUGGUUCGAGCUUUCCCCUUCCUAUGCUCACUCUCCUUACAGCAUGGCAACUCUUCGUCCACAGCAUGGUGCACAGAUAAUUUUACAUAAACUUGGCUCUAAUUGAAUUGUUAUGUAAAUAAAUCUUUGUGAAAAUAUAUAGCUUGUUAGUGUAUCGUCAAAGUCCGGUGUCUGUAAUGGUACAAUUCCGAUGCAUGAAUAGUAAAUUUUGAGAUGUUUAGUGAAGUCCGAAAUAAUAUGCAGAAAUUGAGUGUCUUGAAUGGAUGUAGUAUUUAAUGGUGGACAUAGCUGGGGGACUAAUGUGGUAAUUAUCGAACAAAUAAUUGCAUAUGGUACAAAGACUUGUAUGGAAAUUAGAGCAGGGGGAGUAGAAAAUGACUACUUUGCUUUGGGCAUCAAUUUAGAAAGAUUUAAAGUACAAAUGUAUUAUUAGUUUAAGGGAUUUGUUUUAAAGAAGGAAUGACAAUUAAACCUUAUGAUUGAUUUGUGGAAAGGAAUCGAUGAUGGGAUGAUUACUUUUAGUGGUAAAAAAAACUAUUAAGGAGGUUAUUAUAUUUGUUAUCACCGGCCCAAAAUUUAAAUGUAGUCACGUCAAAUUAUAUCGAGCUCGCAAUAUGAGUUCACGGACCAAGUUUGCAUGAUAAUAGGUGUUCACAUAAAGGUAUUUAUAGUUUACUGCAAAGUCACAUGUGAGAUCGUGCAUUGGAACCGAAUAGACAUGUUUUAUGUUUAGAAUAUGAUACGUGUCUAUGUGCAUAGAAUCUACCUAGUAUAUCAUAUCAAUGAAUAGUAUCAAUUGCGGAGCCAAAAUUUUUUUGAGGGGUAAGAAUUAAAUUGUAUAUUUUUACUAAAAUAAAAAUUCAAUUUUACUAUUUUAAUAGUUUAUUUCUUUUUAAUUUUUAAAUGAUUAAAUCAAAUUUUUAUAAAUUUUUAGAGAUCAAAAUAUAAUUUUAUCAUUACUAAUUUAAAAUUUUAUAAAUUAUAAAGUAUUUAAAUAAAAAAAUUUCCUAUUUUAGGGUGACCAAGGUCCUGCCAACUUCCUACUCGAUCACUGAACAGUAUAAAUAAAUACCAUCAUCUAAAAUACUCAAGAAAAACACUCAAGGAUAAAUAGAGAGAUGUUGGGUAAGUGUCCAAAAUAUGAUUUAAGUGAAGAUACGUGUGGUAGGUGUCAUGGAAAUGUAAAGACAAGAAUCCCACUAAUGUAUGGGAUGUGUACACUUGAAUGUAGGGAGCAAAGAGGAGCGAAUCAUUGUGGUAACAUUUGGACAAGAAAUAAUGAACAAAAUGAAAGGAGAGGAAGCUAGUAAAAGAUUUUUUUGGGUCAUAUAAUUUGUUUGGUAUAUAUUUUUUUAAUUUUUAAAUAUCAUUUUGGAGUUGAAUUAUAGUUUCUUUUUAUGUUUUAAAACAUAAUUAUUUUAUUUUUAGAGUGUCAAAGUAGAGGUGAGCAUGGAUCAGACUACUCGGCUCGGCCGGAAGAUCUGUCUGAAAUGUGAGAGGUUUGAGCAAAAAUAUAGGCAAAAAAAAUGGGCUUGGACAAAAAAUAUAAGGCUCGUUUAGAAAAUGGGUCGGGCCUUGAGUAAGACAUUUUUGGCCUCGAGCCUGGCCCGGCUUGAAUUCACUAAAGGACAAAAAAAAUUAAUUUUUUAAAUAUUAUUUUCUUGUUAUUUUCUUCCUAUUUUGCUACCAUUGUACUAUUAUGUUACUACUAUUUUGUUGUUAUUGUUUGGAUAUUGUAUAAACCUUAUUUUAUUGUUAAUUUUGUUAUUAUUUUAAAGACAUUUGUUAAUUUUGUUAUUAUUUUAGAGACAUUUGCUUGUUAAGUUGCAUCUAUCUUAGUGUUAUUUAAGUAUACAUAUUUUUUAAAAUUUAUUUUCAAUUUGUUGGAAAAUAUUUAUUUUAUAUUUUUAGUAUUUUAGAUGUAUUAUAUAUAUUUUAAAAUUAUAUAAAAAUUAAUAUGGACAGGAGGGUCGAGCCCGAGUUUUAGCAUUUUUAUUCGGGUUAGGCUUGGACAAAAUUUUAAGCCCAUUUUUUGGGCCGAGCCUAACAAACAGUCUUGAAUUUUUAGUUGAGCUUGGCCCGGCCCAUGCUCACCUCUAGUUCAAAGCUGCCCUCGCUUUGCAUUUCUUUGAGAUUCAGUUUUAUCUACUGUUGAUUGGCCACUCAAUUGAGGGUUGAAUAGAAAGAUUUGGUGAAGCAAGCUAAGCUAUCAAUCAAGGUUGGAGAAAGCUUAGGAGAUCACAAUGCAUAAUUAUUUAAAUGUAAUUCUAAUAUUUAAAUAAAAUUUAUUAAUUUAGUAUUAACAAGCCUUAAAUGUAAUGAUCAUAUACUAUUACAUUUUCAAGAAGAAAAAAUAUGUUUGAACCUUAAAAACAACAUUAUUAAAAAUAAUAAUCACAAAUCUUAAAAUAUAAAAAAUAUAAUUAAAAAUUAAUUUUAAACUCGAGCUGUAACAGCCCAAAUUUCAGUGGUGUCGGAAUAGUGAUGUGAGAUCACUAAAUACGACAUGUGAGUUUAGAUAUUAGUAAGUAAAAGUUAAGUGUGAUUUUAGAAAUAUUUUUGAAUUAGUGAAAUUGUGAAUUAAAGAAAAUUUCUAGAUAAAAACGAGGUAUCGAGACCUCUAAUUCAUAAACCAAGCCAUAAAUAUUUUUAGAAAUAUUUAUGGAGUGUUACUAAGUUAGUAUUAAAGUUUUGUUAAGAGAUUUUAACAUUUCAGUAAUUAAUUGAAGAAAAAUGACUAAAUUGAAUAAAGUGUAAAACUAUCAAAUAUGAUUAAAUAGCUUAAGAGAUCAUUAAGGAAUGAGUUAAAAGGUAAAUAGACCCAAAUUAGGUGGGUUGGACGGCAUGAGUGUGCAGGAAAUGUAAAAAAAUCAAGUGUGAACAAAGGGCAAAAGUGAAAAUAGGGUAAAAUUUAAUUGUAAAAUAUGAUGUAGUUGGUAAUUUUAGAGAAUUCAUCAUUUUUCUUCAUCUUCAUCAGCUAAAAACACCAUUAGAGAGCUUUUAAGAAGCUGGUUUUAUAUUUUACAGCAUGUAAGUUCAAUUCUUGAUUAUUUAGUUCAAUUCUUGAUUAUUUCUUGUAAUUUUUGUGUUUUUUGAGACUUUUACAAUUGGGUCCUACUAUUUAACUUAUUAGUUUUUGCUUUUAUGAAUGGUUUAGAAAGUUUCCAUAAAUAAGAGCUGAAAUUUUAUGAUGAUUUAUUAUGGAAUUGGGACUGUAAGUUUAUUAUAUGAUGAUUUUAUGAAGAGAUUUUAUAAGAAUUGAUUUUUAGGACCUAAUUGUGAAAGUCGUUGUAAUUAGGGUUUUGUGUUAAAACUUUGAAUUUCAAAGGCUUGGAAGUAGUUAUAAUGUUUAGAUAAAAUGAUAUUUUAGAAUAAUUAGUUCAAUUGAUGAACAAAUUGAGCAAUGACUAAAUUGUAAAAAUUGAAAAGUUUGAGAAAAAAUGUAAUUUCAAAAAUUAAAGGGUAUAAAUUGUGAAGUAGAAUAGAAUUGAAAUAGAUGCUCAUGAGGGAAUGAUUUUAUAAUUACAGAUCAAGAAAACGAAGUGAAUCGUGGAAAGGAGAAAUUGCAAGAAUAUUCCCUGAAAUUUCUACGACUUUUGCAAAUCAGCCCAGUUAAGUUCAUAUGGAAAAAAUUAAUGUUUUGUUAUGAAAAUCUUAUGAUUUGAUAAGGUAUAUUAUUAUAGAUGAAUACUAUCAAAUUGUAAUAAUUAUGAAAUAAUAUUUAAGUAAAAGUACAAAUUAGUUGGAACAAUGGAUUUGAGUGCUUUCGUUCUGUGACCAUGAUGAAUUGAUGGAAAAGGUGUGAUAUGUGCGCCCGUAUAAGACCAUAGCUGGGCUAUGGCAUCGGUGCAAUGUGAUAUGUGCUCCUGUAUAAGACUAUAGUUGGGCUAUGGCAUCGGUGUGAUGUGAUAAUGUGCUUCUGUAAAAGACCAUAUUUGGGAUAUGGCAUCGGUAUGAUAUGUGACCCGUGUAAGACCAUAACUGGGCUAUGGCUUCGGUGUGUGAUAUGUGACUAUGUGCAAGUCUAUGGUUUUACCAUGGCAAUGUGAUAAUGAAGCACUCAAUUCCAUUAUUGUUUCCUAAUUUGACUAUGAAAGUAAAUGAGAAAUAGGCCCAAGAGAUCUAAAAUUGGUGAAUAGUGACAUUGAAAUCAAUCAAAUGAGUUUAUUAAUGAUUUGUGAUUUACAGGAAGGUUUAGUGAAAUUAAAUAUUAUAUGAUUGUGUGCAAUAUUCGGUAAGAUUUAUUUUUCUGUGCUUAUGAGCGUACUAAGCUUCAAUAAGCUUACUUGUGUAUGUUAUUUGUUUUGUAGAUUGACUUAUAUACAUACGGAGGAUUGGAUCUACAUCGAGGAUCACGCUAUCCAGAUUUAUUCUGGUAGAUUUUGUUAAACAACUUUUUGAUUUAUAUGGCAUGUAUAGGGUUGAUUUGAUAAUGUAAUAGUAUGAAUGAUUAAGUAUGUAAAGUAAAUUGAAUGCGAUGGUUGUGUUUGAUAAUGAAAUAUACAUGUUUUGGCUUGAAAUAGUUGAUUUGUUGGACUUUAUUAGUGUAUAAAUGUGAUUUUGUGCAGGAAAAUAUUAAAAGGGUGAGAAAAGAGGCAUUAAAUGACCUAUUUUCGUCCACACGAGUAGGCGCAGGACAUGUGUGACACACAACCUACUAUAUGGGCAUGUGAUAAGAUCGUGUGUCCCUUGCAACUUAAAAAUGAGAAUCAGAAUGUCCAGGUUUAGGCACAUGGCCUAACAUAAGGGCGUGUGGCUUGACCGUGUGACACACCCACGGGCUUUAACAUGGCCGUGUGAUACGGCUGUGUGAAGUCUGCACUUAAAAUGUGAAAUUUAAUUAUCACACGGCCUAGCAACACAGACGUGUGCUCAGGCUGUGUGACUCAAGUUUCUUCUUGAAUGCAAGUCAGAGAGCUCCACGGGCUUGGGACAUAGGCGUGCGUGACCACACAGCCUACCCACACGGGCGUGUCCCUAUCCACACGGGCGUGUGGCCCUGUUUCAUGAUAAUUUUUUUUAAAAUUUUCUAAAAGCUCUGAAAGUUCUUAGUUUGGUCCCGAUCUAUCUCCAACAUAUAUUUUGGGCCUCGUAGGCCCGUAUAAGGGACUUUAAGCAUGUGUUUGAAUAAUAGUUAAUUUGGAAUGAAGUUUUAUGAUCUGGUUUUGGGUGUUUAAUUGUGUUUAAGCCUGGUAAUACCUCGUACCCUGUUCCGGCGUAGAAUACGAGUAAGGGGUGUUACACAAGCUGGAUAAAAUUCUAAUUUUUGAUAAUGAUAGUAAUAACAAAUCAAUAUUUAAAUUAAAAUUAAAAUUAAUUUAGUAUAAUAUAAUUUUUGAGUUUUCGGCAAAGGCACUCAAUGAAUGCUUGGAAAGAAAUAAUGCAACUUAGUGAAAUAAUGCAACUUAGUGAUAGCUUUUGUUGGAGUUAUAUGCUGUUAUUAUAGUUUUAUGUUUUUAUCUUGCAAAAACAACAUAUUGGAGUUUUCGGUGGACUUUUAAGUUUCAUGAUUUUUUCCUAAUACUUUACGUGAAAAAAAUAAUGGUACUUAAAAAUCUAACAAAAGCUUCUCUAUAAUUUUUAUAAAAAAAACAUUGCUACAAUAUUACAACACAAAGUUACAAUAAUAGCUUAUAACUCAACAAAGGCUAUCAAUAAAUAAUCUCAAGCAAGUUAAAGAGAAAUGUUGAGAAUACCACCCAAAUAGUGACCGACUUUAAAAGUUGAAAACCCAAAGCUAUAGUAUCUCAAACGAAAUCAAACCAUAAAUAUUAAAAUUUUUCGAGUCUAUUAGCUACUGUAAAAAAAUUUAGCUCCAACAGACACCAAAUGAGCCUUUGAUUGAAGAAAAUACGAAAACUAGUCUAGGUAAACCAAGCUGCCAAACUUACUUAUCUUAUCUUUAAUCUGCCGUGAAAUUCAAAACUAAGUUUUUGUUUAUUUCACUUAGAACGACUUUCAAAAAAUUAUUUUUGAAAAAUGGAUUGAUUUUUUUGAAAUAGAUGAUAUUUUAUUGUGUUGAAACUUUAUUCGUUGUCUGAAAACUUUUUUUAAAUUAUUUUCUUAGAGUUAUUUUUAGUGAAAUAAACAUAACAUAAAUAUAUUUGUUAUAAAAAAUUAUAUUAGUAUUUUCUUUUGACAAUUAAAAUUUAUUUUAUGAUAAGACAAUAUUUUACAAUAAUUAAUAUCAUAUAUAUACGUAAUAAUAAAUCAUGUUUAAUUAAAAUUUAAUUUAAAUUAAAUAUAUUAAUAAAGCUACAUAUAAUCAUAUUUUAUAUAAUUAAAAUAUUAAUAUAAAUAUUUUUCAAUAAUAUAUUAAAAAUAUUAAAAUUUAAUAUUAUUAUUACUAAAAUUAAUUAUUAAAAUAAAAAAUGUAAUAUUAAAUAAUUUAUUGUAUUAUUAAAUAUAAAUAAUUAAAUAUGUAUUUUAUAAUAUUUUAAUAUUCUUAAACAGCCAUGUUUUAUAGAUGCUGGUGAUCGUGAUGGUGCAGGCCCUUCUUGUUAUAAUUACUAUAAUUUCUAGUGCAAUAAUUGAAGUUGUUGGGUGGUCAAGCAAACCUCUUUUUGACUGAAAUGCAUGUAAUAUACUGGGCGAAUCUAGAGGGGUUCGCGUGGUACCGGUCUCUCUAAAGUUUAAAAUUGUUAUUUAAAUUUUUAAUUUUUUUAAAAAAUUUUAAAUUUAAUAAAAGUAAAAUUAUAUUUUUAGCUCUUAAAAUUAUAAAAAUUAUAUUUAAUCCUUUAAAAGUUAUAAAUAUAUAGACUAAAAAAUUAAAAUUUCAUUCGGCUUAUUAAAAGAUUAUUCUGGCUUUGCUCUUGAUACCGAUGUUGAAUAUUUUAGAGUAUGUUUCUUUAACAUGGUUCAAUUAUAUAUUUAUAUAAUAUAAUUAUUGUUCAUGAAUGUGACAUCGUAACUAAGUUCAUAUGCAUGUCAACAUAUAUAUUAUUUUAGGGUUAAUACGUUUUUUUUAAAUGUGAGUUCACCUAUAUAAUGGUAUGAACCCGUCACGCGGUCUCAUGAAAUAUGCGAAUAUAUGUCGUGCGAACACAAAGUACGAACUACACAGAAUAAGGACUAAGACCCAAUUGGGUAAUCGGAUACGGAUCAGUAAUAAUGAAUUUCAUAACAGCCACCAUCCCCUCAUUUGUUCUAAUUUAUUUUAUUUCCAGUGAGUUAUUGUUUAUGAUAAUUCACAACAAAUGUUUUUGUCAUUAUUUUUUGGUAAAUAAUAAUAAGAUUAAACUCUACUUUCUUAAGCUCCUUCAAUUCUUUGGACGUUGGUGGUUUUUUAUUCUAAUCUUAUUUUCUUAUUAAUUUCUUUUUUAUAAUAAAUGUGUUUAUAGAUUAAAUUGGAUUAUAAUUGAGUCAUUGUAUGGAAUUAACAUAAUUCAUAUCGAUUAAAAUUUAUUCGACUGGAAAUACAAAUUUAAAAUUUUACUUCAAUUUAUCUUAAUUUAUAAAUGAUGAAUUUAAAUUUAUUUUUUUCUCUCAUUAUAUUCAGUUUUCCGGAUAAGAUUUGGCCCAGAACAAAAACUAUAACAAUAAAACAAAUAUAUAUGUUUUCCAAAAAUUAAAUUGUUAACUUUUAAAAAAAUAUUUUUAGCUAUUUCUCAUCAUUGAGAAUAAAAAUAAGGUCACCUCGCCUCAUGCUUCAACAACUCAACCUAGAUUCUCAUCACCUGUAUUUAUCAUCGAUUCAGAUUUUUAUUUUUACUAUAUUCAAGAACUACCUAUAAAUCUAUCUUCAAACUUCCUCUGGUUAAGUUCAUUCAUAGAUAGGUGAGUAAACUUGAGCUUCAGCUUCAACAAACACCAUAGUUUGAAGACACAAUUCUCUCAUACUAAAAAUAUGGAAGUUUACCAUGUAAUUAGAGAUUUGGUCUCAUUGCUUGUUGUUGGGUUAUUAAUGAUAUGGGGAUGGAGAACUUUAAACUGGGUAUGGUUGGCCCCAAAGAGGCUCGAAAGGUGCUUGAGACAACAGGGUUUUGCAGGGAAUACUUACAGGUUCCUUUCCGGUGACAUAAAACAGCUCUCAACUAUGGGCAGACAAACAAAAGCCAAACCUAUGCCUCUUAGUGAUGAUAUUGGGCCUUAUUGUUGGAGUUUCAACACACUUUAACCGGGUAAAGUAAGAAUUUUAAACAGAGCACUAGCAGCAACGUAUUAUACCCGGAUAAAAUAUGAAGGAAAAAUGCUUGGAGUUCAAGCUUUUAGCUACUGUCAAGAAUGAAGAACAGAACUUAGAAGUUUUUAGAAGGCAAAAAAAGAUGGAGCAUAUGGAAGAAAAUCUGAUGAUUUCAUUCAUUGAAACAUUGGCUUAAAGCCAUUACAUAUACCAGUCAUUUGGCUGGUCAAAAGAUUAACAAAUCCUUUACCUAAACACUACCUAACUCCACUAAUUACAUAGGGACUAGGUGAUUUUACUUGCAAACAUAAACAAAGAUGGUGAUCAGCUCUAUCACCAUCAAAUUACAUCAAACAUAAACUAAACUAAGUUCAAAAUGAACUAGAUUACAAAAGCAUAGUUAAACGGUAACAAAAUGUAACUGAGACGGAAAAGAAGUAUCAACCCCUUCAGUUGCAUGUAUUUUACUCGGGUAACUUGUGUGUAUGAAUUCUUGCACAUACUUUACCCGGAUAACAUAAGUGCAUUAAUUUUCACGUGCUUGAAUCUGCAUGGGCUGCAUGGGAACUAACUUCAACACUUAUGUUGCUCCUUUUCUUCAUCAAAUUGUCAACCAGUAUGGUUUGUUUUUUAUUUAUUUAUUUAAUCUUCAAUUUAUGAUAAUUCUUUGUUAUUUAUGUAUGGAAUUUAUUGGGAGGAAAUGCAGGAAAGAAUUCAUUUACGUGGUUUGGUCCAAGACCAAGGGUGAACAUUACUGACCCUGAAAAAAUAAGAGAAAUACUUAAACAAAUUUAAUGACUUCCAGAAGGUACAUACCAAUCCACUGCUUAAUUUGCUUGUAAGCGGCCUUGUUAACCUCGAAGGAGACCGAUGGAGCAAGCGUAGAAAAAUCAUAAACCCUGCAUUUCAUCAAGAUAAGUUGAAGGUAUAGAAUAGUGAUGGGUACUCAAGACUUUACAGAAAACAUCAUACUUAAACCUAUGCUUUUCUGAUUUAGAAAUAAUUGGGUGCAGAAUAUGUUGCCAGCAUUUUAUCAAAGUUGUAGUGACAUGUUAAGCAAAUGGGAGAAGAUGGUGUGUACAGAAGGAUACAGUGAGUUAGAUGUGUGGCCUUAUCUCGUAGAUUUGACAAGGGAUGUGAUUUCCCGAUCUGCUUUUGGAAGCAGCUUCGAAGAAGGCAAGCGAAUUUUCCAAUUACUAGGCGACCAACUCGUUCUCAGAAUCAAAUUAAUACAGAUUGUUUACAUUCCAGGAUGGAGGUAACCCUCAACUUAAUUUACUUGAAAAAGGUUGCAAAUGUUGGAAUUCGCUAAAAUCGUGUUUGUUUUCUUGAAGGUUUUUGCCAACAAAGACAAACAGGUAGAUGAAGAUGAAACAGAGACACAUAAAAGAGUCGCUUAGGGAAAUGAUAAAGAGAAGAGAGAAGGCAAUUAAAGCAAGGGAAGAGAGCAAUGAGGACUUGUUGGACAUACUUGUGGAAUCCAAUAUCAGAGAAAUGGAAGCAAAGAAUAUGGGGAUGAGCAUUGAGGACGUGAUUGAGGAAUGCAAGCUGUUUUACUUUGCUGGCCAAGAGACCACUUCAGUCUUACUGGUGUGGACUAUGGUUUUAUUAGCAAGGUAUGCCGAUUGGCAAAGUAAAGCAAGAGAGGAGGUUUUGCAUGUUUUGGGUGACAGUAAACCUGAUGUUGAUGGCCUUAAUCGUCUCAAAGUUGUAAGUCCCUAGCAUGUCUUUUGAAGGUCCGAUCAAUGAGGUCGACAACUCAAAAACUUGGUUUCUUUUUUCGCUAAUUCUACAGGUAACAAUGAUAUUGUACGAGGUUCUAAGGCUGUACCCAUCAGCGACUGAGCUAGGACGUUCCGUUCCAGAAGAAAUAAAACUGGGAAAUUUGUUGUUGCCAGCAGGAACAGAAGUUUCGGUUCCUAUCCUGCUGAUCCACCAUGACAAAGAUCUUUGGGGCGACGACGCACGGGAAUUUAAGCCAGAGCGGUUCGCGGAAGGGGUUUCCAAAGCAACAAAGAGUCAAGUCACGUUUCUGCCAUUCGGAUGGGGUCCUAGGAUUUGCAUUGGCCAAAAUUUUGCUAUGAUGGAAGCCAAAAUGGCAGUGGCUAUGAUUCUCCAACACUUCUGGUUCGAGCUUUCCCCUUCCUAUGCUCACACUCCUUGCAGCAUGGUAACGCUUCGUCCACAGCAUGGUGCACAGAUAAUUUUACAUAAACUUGGCUGUAAUUGAAUAGUUAUGUAAACAAAUUUUUGUGAAAAUAUAGCGUUUUAGUGUAUCGUCAAAGUCCGGUGUCUGUAAUGGUACAAUUCCGAUGCAUGAAUAGUAAAUUUUGAGAUGUUUGGUGAAGUCCGAAAUAAUAUGCAGAAAUUGAGUGUCUUGAAUGGAUGUAGUAUUUAAUGGUGGACAUAGUUGAGGGACUAAUGUGGUAAUUAUCAAACAAAUAAUUGCAUAUGGUACAAAGACUUGUAUGGAAAUUAGAGCUGGGGGAGUAGAAAAUGACUACUUUGCUUUGGGCAUCAAUUUAGAAAGAUUUAAAGUACAAAUGUAUUAUUAGUUUAAGGGAUUUGUUUUAAAGAAGGAAUGACAAUUAAACCUUAUGGUUGAUUUGUGGGAGGGAACCGAUGAUGGGAUAAUUACUCUUAGUGGUAAAAAAAAAAAACUAUUAAGGAGGAUAUUAUACUUGUUAUCACCGGCCAAAAUUCAAAUGGGUUUGGGUUGAAUUAUAUUGAGCUCGCAAGAUGAGUUCAUGGACCAAGCUUGCAUGAUAAUGGGUGUUCACAGAAAGGUAUCUAUAGUUUCCUGUAAAGUCACAUGUGAGAUCGUAUAUUGGGACCGCAUAAACAUGUUUUAUGUUUAGAAUAUGAUAUGUAUCUAUGUGCAUGGAAUCUACCUAGUAUAUUAUAUCAAUGAAUAGUAUCAAUUGCGGAGCCAAAAUUUUUUUUGAGAGGUCAGAAUUAAAUUGCAUAUUUUUACGAAAAUAAAAAUUCAAUUUCACUAUUUUAAUAGUUUAUUUCUUUUUAAUUUUUAAAUGAUUAAAUUAAAUUUUUAUAAAUUUUUAGGAGGUUGAAGUACAAUUAUAUCAUUACUAAUUUAAAAUUUUAUAAAUUAUAAAGGACUUAAAUGAAAAUUUUCCUAUUUUAAAGUGACUAUAAAUAAAUAAAUACCACCAUCUAAAAGACUUAAGAAAAACACUCAACAAUUGUUGAUAAAUAGAGAGAUGUUGGGUAAAUGUCCAAAAUAUGAUUUAAGUGAAGAUACGUGGGGUAGGCGUCAUGGAAAUGUAAAGACAAGAAUCCCACUAAUGUAUGGGAUGUGUACACUUGAAUGUAGGGAGCAAAGAGGAGCGAAUCAUUGUGGUAACAUUUGGACAAGAAACAUAAUGAACAAAAUGAAAGGAGAGGAAGCUAGUAAAAGAUUUUUUUGGGUCAUAUAAUUUGUUUGGUAUAUAUUUUUUUAAUUUUUAAAUAUCAUUUUAGAGUUGAAUUAUAUUUUCUUUUUAUGUUUUAAAACAUAAUUAUUCUAUUUUUAGAGGGUCAAAGUAGAGGUGAGCAUUGGUCGGGCUAUCCGGCCCGGCCUAAAGAUCUACUAGAAAUGUGAGAGGUUUGAAUAAAAAUAUAGGCCCGAAAAAUGGGUUUGGACAAAAAAUAUAAGGUUCGUUUAGAAAACGGGCCGAGCCUUGAGUAAGGCAUUUUUGACCUCGGGCCUAGCCCUGCCUGAAUUCACUAAAAGACAAAAAAAAUUAAUUUUUUAAUAUUAUUUUCUUGUUAUUUUCUCCCUAUUUUGCUAUCAUUUUACUAUUAUUUUGCUACUAUUUUGUUGUUAUUAUUUGGAUAUUAUAUAAAACUUAUUUUAUUGUUAAUUUUGUUAUUAUUUUAGAGACAUUUACUUGUUAAGUUGCAUCUAUCUUAGUGUUAUUUAAGUAUACAUAUUUUUUAAAAUUUAUUUUCAAUUUGUUGAGAAAUAUUUAUUUUGAUAUUUUGAGUAUUUUGGAUGUAUUAUAUAUAUUUUAAAAUUAUAUAAAAAUUAAUAUGGGCAGGCUGGGUCGAGUCCGAGUUUUAGCAUCUUUAUUUGGGUUGGGUUUGGACAAAAUUUUAAGCCCAUUUUUCAGGCUGAGCCUAACAAAUGAUUCUAAAUUUUUAGUUGAGCUCUCAGCCCGGCCUAUGCUCAUAUCUAGUUCAGAGCUGCCCUCACUUUGUAUUUCUUUGAAAUUCAGUCUUAUCUACUGUUGAUUGCCUACUCAAUUGAGGGUUGAGUAGAAAAAUUUGGCGAAGCAAGCAAAGCUAUCAAUCAAGGUUGGAGAAAGCUUAGGAGGUCACAAUGCAUAAUUAUUUAAAUGUAAUUCUAAUAUUUAAAUCAAAUUUAUUAAUAUAGUAUUAACAAGCCUUAAAUGUAAUGAUCAUAUACUAUUACAUUUUCAGGAAGAGAAAAUAUGUUUAAACUUUAAAAAUAACGUAAUUAAAAAUGAUAAUCAUAAAUCUUAAAACAUAAAAAAUAUAAUUAAAAAUUAAUUUUAAACCCUGGAUAAAAUUCUAGUUUUAGAUAAUGAUACUAAUAACAAAUCAAUAUUUAAAUUAAAAUUAAUAUUAAUUUAAUAUAAUUUUUGAGUCUUCAGCAAAGGCACUCAAUGAAUGCUUGGAAAGAAAUAAUGCAACUUGGUGAUAACUUUGUUGGAGUUAUAUGGUCUUAUUAUAGUUUUAUGUUUUUAUGUUGCAGAAAAAACAUAUUGGAAUUUUUCGUGGACUUUCAAGUUUCAUGAUCUUUUCUUAAUACUUUAUGUGAAAAAAAAUAAUGGGAUUUAAAAAUCUAUCAAAAAGCUUCUGUUGUAGGCCAAUUUUGGCUCAAAUACAACCCAAUUAUUCAAACCCCUUAAAACCCAAUACAAAAUAGCCCAACUACUAACCCUAGCCCAGACCAAUAAUAAAAAAUAGCAAAGAAAAAAAGAACCCUGGCCACCCCGUGAUGUUUGCCACCCCACGCCUCUGCAGCACCAUUCCCAGGCAUCACACACUCUCACCAACUCCUCCAUACCCUGCAAAAUGAGACAAACACCAAGACAGAAGCUGACAACACAAGAGCAGUAGCAAGAGGCUUAAAAUAUCGUUUUGAAAUGGCUAUAAGAGGGAGAUCCGAUUGUAAAAAUUGGGGGGGAUUCAAUAUGCAAAAAUUGUAUCACGAAUUUUGGCAAAUCAAAAGCAAAAAAAAAGCACAUAAAAAAGGUUGAAUUUUAUUUCCUUUUUUUGUUUCUUUAUUUUUUAUUUUCCUUUUUUUCUUCAAAAAAUCAGUUUUAAAACAAAAAAAAUAAAAAAAAGAAGAAAGGGGAUUUACCUGAACUUCGGAGCCGCGACAUCGGAGCCCUACUCCGUCGUUGAAAUCGGCUCUCAAAAAGGAAAAUGGGGGUCUCUCCCUUCAGAUUUUCGGGCUAAGAAAAUAGGGCCUUCAGGCGCCCCCAAAAUCGGGGUCAAAAGCCCCCAUUCAAGCAACCCCGACCACCACUUACGGUGGCUCCAUGGCGGCGGCAAUGAUGGGUAUAAACCCUAGCAAAAGGGGAAAUGAGGGAGAGAGAGCCAAGAAACUCUCUGUUUUUUUUGCUUUUCAAAAUGGGGGCUGGAAACACAAAAUAAAAAAAAGGGUUUUAAGUUAUUUGAAAAAAAAGGGCUGCACUUUAACUCGUUUAACAGGCCUAAUAUGUGCCUUUUAAUUGAAAGUGAGGGAAUUAUACAUUAGGUCCUUCUCAUUUGCGCAAACAUUCAAUCAUGCCACAUUUAUUUCACUUCCUUUUUAAUUUGGCUUUAAAACUUACGCAUAUUAGCAAUUCGGUCCCAUUUCUUUUUAUUUUAUUAUUUUCACCCCGAAUUUCUGUCUAGAGUUCAAAUUAGCCCCUUUUCGUCCUUUUCUUUUCUUUUAUAUUUUAUUUUAUUAUUUGAUAUUAUGGUAUUAUAAUUGUAUUUUAUUUUCUUGCAUAUUAUUUGCUAUUAUUAUUAUCACCUUCAUUCCAUUAUUAUUAUUGCUAUUGCUAAGUUUUUUGUUGUUUAUAUUUUUAUUUAUAUUAUUAGUAUAUUGUUAUUCCUUAGUUUAUUAUUAUUAUAUCAUUUUUUAUGUAUUUAUCUACAUUAUUAUUAUUAUUAUUAUUUUUGAACACAUCAUGCAUUUUAAAUUAUUACCAAUUUUAAAUAUUUUAUAUAUAUCAUUAUGUAGUAUUUAUUUUUAGAUUCUUAUACGUAUCUUGGUAUUUUAGAUUAUUACAUGUAUACCUAUAUAUAUAUAUCUUUUAUUUUAAACAUUUUUCUAUGCAUUAUCUUACAUCAAAUUUCUUUUUUUUCACGUUAUUCUUUCUAAAUAUUUUAUAUGUCAUUUGAACUAAAUUCUAUUUUUAAAAUUUUUAUAUAUUACUUAGUUACAUUAUUUUAUAUGAAAAUUAUUUUGAACUCUUUUAUUAUUUAUUGUAAACCUUUAUUAUUGUUAAUUUUAAGACUAUAUAGGUAUUUAUUAAAAAAAAUUCAUAAAUAUUAUUUUGGAUUUAUAUAUAUUUUUAUUUUUGAACAAUAUUUAUUUUAAAAUUUUCUUUUACACAUUUUAAGCUCUUUGGUAAAUUAUUUUAAAGUGUUCUUGUUAUUUUUUUUUGUAUUAUUCAUCUUAUUUCAUUUAACAUAUUGUUUAUUUGAAGUUUGCUUUAUAUAGGUUACUUUAUUUUAUGCCCAAAAUAUUAUAUAUAUUAAUUAUUAUAAAUUGUUUUAUAUUCUUUACUUUAAAUUGCCUUUUCAUUUUAAAAUUGUUUUAUGUAUUAUUUAUUUAAAACUGUCUUAUUAUUUUGAAUUGUUUUAUGCCCCAUUUUUUAGAGCUCAAUUUAUUUAUUUUUAUUUAUCACCCAUUAUACGUUAUUUCCUUAUACUAUUACAUAUUUUAUACUUAUAUAUACAUAUAUAUGUGUAUGCAUCAUUUGAUCUAAAAUUUUUGUAAAUAAAUGUAUCAUCUUUCCUUAAAUCAUUUUAUAUAUUUUAAAUAUCCAUUUUUCACUUUAUUUACUUUUAAAACUUAGUUAUGAUCAUGUUAAAUAGUUUUUAUAUCUUAUUCGUUUUAAUUGGCUUUAUACUAUAUAUUUUUAUAUUAUCACAUAUGUUAUUUCAUUUAUUUGUUUAUUUAUUUUUUUUCUCCUUGAUUACUAAUAUUAACAUUUAAAUAAUGCAUGUUGAGUGAUUAUUGUUAUUGCGUGUACCUUAAUUCAUUCACUUGCGUAUUUAUAUUUGUCGUACAUUUGUGAUGUUAUUCUUGUAUUAUUAUUUCAUGGUCUAUACUCCCUUUCAUUUUGUUUCGUUUAAAUCAUAUCGUGCAUCUACCUCAAAUGUAUUUGUCCAAACAUGGACCGUUUUAAUCCAAACAAAUGAUACACGUCGCUUAAGUAUCACACUUGCUAUGGUUUUUAAAAACAAAAAUUUCAAAAUGAGGCAAUGUUUCGCGUUUUAGAACAUCGAGAAAUUGUGCCCUAACUUAUGGGGUUUCGGUUUUCUCGUUGGUUCUAAAUGUCAAAGUAUCCUUUUGAGUUUUAAAAUACACGAAAUUUUAAUUAAAAUUAAAGAUACACCUAUGCUCGAGAAUUCAUGGUAUGGUGUCCUAACUUACGGGAUGUGAUGCUCCGAUAUCUUGAGAUAAGGAAAUCUUUAAACAAAUUGUUUUGAGCUAAUUCAAAAAUUUUAAAAUUGAUAUUGAUAGAAAAGAUCAUAUUUCAAAUUCAUUCCCGAUUUUUGAUUUUCGACAUUAAGACACUAACUAAUCAAUUCGGUACUAAUUUUUGGGCGUGUCGGGGGCGCUAAUCCUUCCUCGCACAUAACCGACUCCCAAAUUUGUUCUCUUGGAAUUCGUAGACCAAAAUGCCGUUUUACUAAACUAAAAUUGUUAAAACAAAGGUGAUCCGAUCACACCAAAUAAAGAUCGGUGGCGACUUUCGUUUUAAUUUUUGUUUCCAAACAAAGUCGACCCCAUCCUUCAAAAAUCGGUUUCGACAGCUUCACUAUAAUAAUAAUAAUAAUAAUAAAUUGUUACAAUAUUACAACACAAAGUUACAAUAAGAGUUUAUAACUCAACAAAGGCUAUUAAUAAAUAAUCUCACACAAGCUAAAGAAAAAUGUUGAGAAUACCACUCAAAUAGUGACUGACUUUAAAAGUUGAAAACCCGAAGCUAUAGUAUCUCAAACGAAAUCAAACCAUAAACAUUAAAAUUUUUCGAGUCUACCAGCUACUGUAAAAAAUUCAGCUCCAACAGACACCAAAUGAGCCUUUGAUCGAAGAAAAUAUGAAAAUUAGUUUGGGUAUACCAAGCUGCCAAACUUACUUAUCUUAUCUUUAAUUUACAGUGAAAUUCAAAACUAAAGUUUUUGUUUAUUUCACUUAAAAUAACUUUCAAAAAAUUAUUUUUGAAAAAUGGAUUGGUUUUUCGAAAUAGAUGAUAUUUUAUUGUGUUAGAAUAUUAUUCGUUGUUUGAAAACUUUUUUUAAAUCAUUUUCUUAGAGUUAUUUUUAGUGAAACAAACAUAACAUAAAUAUAUUUGUUACAAAAAAUUAUAUUAGUAUUUUCUUUUGACAAUUAAAAUUUAUUUUAUGAUAAGACAAUAUUUUAUAAUAGUUAAUAUCAUAUAUAUAUACACGUAAUAAUAAAUUAUGUUUAAUUAAAAAUUAAUUUAAAUUAAAUAUAUUAAUAAAGCUACAUAUAAUCAUAUUUUAUAUAAUUAAAAUAUUAAUAUAAAUAUUUUUUAAUAAUAUAUUAAAAAUAUUAAAAAUUUAAAAUUAUUAUUACUAAAAUUAAUUAUUAAAAUAAAAAAUGUAAUAUUAAAUAAUUUAUUCAAUGAUAAGUACUUAUAUUAAUAAUUUAUCGUAUUAUUAAAUAUAAAUAAUUAAAUAUGUAUGUUUAAUCAUAUUACGUUAUAAUAUUUUAAUAUUCUUAAAACAGUUUUAAAGAUGCUGGUGAUGGUGAUGCUGCAGGCCCUUCUUGUUAAUUUUUAGUGCAAUAAUUGAAGUUGUAGGGUGUGGUCAAGCAAACCUCUUUUGACUGAAAUGCAUGUGAUAUACCGGUAAGUGGCGUAUCUAGAGGGGGACUGGCGUUGCCCUCGCCCCCUCCUCCCCACCCCCCCCCCCCCCCCAAAAAAAAUUGAAAUUGUUAUUUAAAUUUUUUCAAAAAUUUUAAAUUAAUAAAAGUAACAUUAUACUUUAUCCUCUAAAAUUAUAAAAAUUCUAUUUAAUCCUUUAAAAAUUAUAAAUAUAUAGACUAUAAAAAAUUAAAAUUUCAUUCGACCCCCCUAAAAUAUUGUUCUGGCUUCGCCCUUGAUACCGAUGUUGAAUAUUUUAGAGUAUAUGUCUUCUUUAACAAGGUUAAAUUAUAUAUUUGUAUAAUAUAGUUAUUGUUCAUGGACGUGACAUCGUAACUAGGUUCUUAUGCAUGUUAACAUAUAUCCUAUUUUAGGGUUAACAUGUAUUUUUUAAAUGUGAAUUCAUCUGUAUAAUGAUAUGAACCCAUCACGCGAUCUCAUAAAAUAUGCGAAUAUAUGUCAUGCGAACACAAAAUACAAACCACACACAAUACAUAUCAAGACCCAAUUGUGUAAUUGGAUACGGAUCAGUAAUAAUGAAUUUUCAUAACAGCCACCAUCCCCUCUUUUUUUUCUAAUUUAUUUUAUUUCCAGUGAGUUAUUAUUUAUGAUAAUUCACAACAAAUGUUUUUGUCAUUAUUUUGUUGGUAAAUAAUAAUAAGAUUAAACUUUACUUUCUUAAGCUCCUUCAAUUCUUUGGACGUUGGUGGUUUUUAUUCUAAUCUUAUUUUCUUAUUAAUUUCUUUUUUAUACAUGUAUGGUAUUAACAUUAUAUCAAUUAAAAUUUAUUCGACUGAAAAUAUAAAUUUAAAAUUGUACUUCAAUUUAUCUUAAUUUAUAAAUGAUGAAUUUAAAUUUAUUUUUUUCCUCUCAUUAUAUUUUUCCGGAUAAUAUUUGGCCCUAGAACAAAAACUAAAACAAUAAAACAAAUAUAUAUGUUUUCCAAAAAUUAAAUUGUCAACUUUAAAAAUAUAUAUUUUUAGCUAUUUAUCAUCAUAGAGAAAAAAAAAAAAAAGGUCACCUAGCCUCAUGCUUCAACACCUCAACCUAGAUUCUCAUCACCUGUAUUUAUCAUUGAUUCAGAUUUUUAUUUUUACUAUAUUCAAGAACUACCUAUAACUAUAUCUUCAAACUUCCUCUGGUUAAGUUCAUUCAUAGAUAGGUGAGUAAACUUGAGCUUCAGCUUCAACAAACACCAUAGUUUGAAGACACAAUUCUCUCAUACUAAAAAUAUGGAAGUUUACCAUGUAAUUAGAGAUUUGGUCUCAUUGCUUGUUGUUGGGUUAUUAAUGAUAUGGGGAUGGAGAGCUUUAAACUGGGUAUGGUUGGCCCCAAAGAGGCUCGAACGGUGCUUGAGACAACAGGGUUUUGCAGGGAAUCCUUACAGGUUCCUUUCUGGUGACAUAAAAGAGCUCUCAACUAUGAGCAGACAAACAAGAGCCAAACCUAUGCCUCUUAGUGAUGAUAUUGGGCCUUAUGUUGCUCCUUUUCUUCAUCAAACUGUCAACCAGUAUGGUAUGUUUUUUAUUAUUUAAUCUUCAAUUUAUGAUAAUUCUUUGUUAUUUAUGUAUGGAAUUUAUUGGGAGGAAAUGCAGGAAAGAAUUCAUUUACGUGGAUUGGUCCAAGACAAAGGGUGAACAUUAUGGACCCUGAAAAACUAAGAGAAAUAUUUACCAAAUUUAAUGACUUCCAGAAGAUACGUACCAAUCCACUGCUUACUUUGCUUGUAAGCGGCCUUGUUAACCUCGAAGGAGACCGAUGGAGCAAGCAUAGAAAAAUCAUAAACCCUUCAUUUCAUCAAGAUAAGUUGAAGGUAUAGAAUAGUUAUGGGUACUCAGACUUUACAGAAAAUAUCAUACUUAAACCUAUGCAUUUCUGAUUUAGAAAUGAUUGGGUGCAGAAUAUGUUGCCAGCAUUUUAUCAAAGUUGUAGUGACAUGUUAAGCAAAUGGGAGAAGAUGGUGUGUACAGAAGGAUACAGUGAGUUAGAUGUGUGGCCUUAUCUCGUAGAUUUGACAAGAGAUGUGCUUUCCCGAUCUGCUUUUGGAAGCAGCUUCGAAGAAGGCAGACGAAUUUUCCAAUUACUAGACGACCAACUCGUUCUCAGAAUCAAAUUACUACAAACUGUUUACAUUCCAGGAUGGAGGUAACCCUCAACUUAAUUUACUUGAAAAAGGUUGCAAAUAUUGGAAUUGGCUAAAUUCGUGUUCGUUUUCUUGAAGGUUUUUUCCCACAAAGACAAACAGGGAGGUGAAGAUGAAACACAAAGACAUAAAAGAGUUGCUUAGGGAAAUGAUAAACAGAAGAGAGAAGGCAAUUAAAGCAGGGGAAAAGAGCAAUGAGGACUUGUUGGACAUACUUGUGGAAUCCAAUAUCAGAGAAAUGGAAGCAAAGAAUAUGAGGAU